rnacentral:lncRNA from 1 species
AAUCAGCAUGGUCACCUGACCACACCCUAUAGGGUGUGUCUCCACCUAAACUAGAAUGUGGGGAUCUGUUUACAACAUAACAAGCUGUAGCUACCGACUUUGCCCACCAUUCUCGACCUAACCCAGAAUUAGAGCGCAUACACCUUGCUUUCUCAAGAAGUGUACGGUUCAGCCUUUCCGCGACUCCAUUCUAUUGCGGUGUGCCUCUUACCGUCCAGUGUCUAACAAUGCCUUCCUGAUCACAGAACCUCUUGAAAGCUCCAUCCGUAUACUCUGUACCAUUAUCCGAUCGCAGAGUUUUCAGCUUUCUACCCGUUCUGUUCUCAACCAUUGCUUUCCAACACUNCAGCUCUCUAAAACACACGGACACCCUAGUAUUCACGAUCUCCAUGACCACUAAAUUGCCACACGCGAGAGGUGAAUCGGAAUAGGUUGGGUUUGGAUCCAACCGUCUUCCUCGUGAGUUGAUAAUGGACAUUCAACCCAAGAACAAGACGGCGUCUAAGGAAUCGGACGAGGUGCCACAAUUCACGCAUAGCUCCGGAAUGCUAGACUUCCACACAACACAAAAUACACCUCCCCUCAUUUGGUCUAAGGUUGGGGUGUUAAGUGUACACAAUGGCUCGAGCUGUAACAGGAGGAUAAUACGGUGAGCUGAUGUUGGAGCACCUGCGAUGGCGAGGGAAUGAUGUAUUGUCGGUGUAUGAAGGCAUGACAAUGAGAACCCUAGCAAAGCUUCUAGGGGAAAAACCUGAAUUCAAUAUCGAAAUUAAGAAGGAAUCAUGAGGUUAUGUAUAUAUGAGAAACUACAUGGUUUAAAGAAGGCCUUAUAAGGAGUUGAUUGGUAACUACCUAUACCAAAAAUGCAUCUUCUUUUCGGUAGCCUAACAGAUAAAGAACUUCGAUAGUUAACCAUGAGUAGUAUUUGGAUCUGGGUGACCUUCUGGGAGUUUCUCAAUAAGAGCAGUGGAAUGAGACAUCAUGCUGAAAGAAUUAGAUAAUGUUCUUUUGUAAAAGGUAUUAUUCGCAAUGGGGCGAGAAAAAGUUUUGAUAUUUGAGGUAUUUUUUAGCGAAAUGACGAAUGCUCGGUGAGAACGAGUAAUGUGAAGCCUCGGAUAAAUUAUUCGGGUUCACCUGGAAAUGCUGGACUCUAACGAACCUUUUCAUUCACAGAUGUAUGAAGUUUGUUUUGAUGGAAAGACAUUGAUAAAACAAGACGUAGUCUAGAAAUCGAUGGUUCAAAAGGUUUCCACCGGAAAUGCUAAGAAUCCCAAACAUCCUCUUUUGUCUAAGUUUGUGUUAAGUGUAACACCCUGAACCGACGGGGGCGAUAAUGGUUACAUGUAACCACCCGAGGGAGAGGGAGUGGUUAUCGUGCAAUGAGGGCAUGACAAUGAGACACUCUAGCAACUUCUUAAGGAAAAAACUGAAUUCAUAUUGAAAUGAGAGGGAUCCUGAGGAUGUGUAGUUAUGAAUCUACAAUGGUUGAAAGAUAGGCUUAAUAAGGAUUGUUGUUACUACCUAUACCAAAUAAGAAUCAUCUCUUUCGUAGCUAACAGAAUAAAGAACUUUAUAGUUAAGCAUGGAGUAGUAUUUGGAUGGUGACCUUCUGGGAAGUUUCUCAUAAAGCGAUGUGAGUGAGAGACAAAUCAUGCCUGAAGAAGAAAUUAGAUAUUAUGGGUUUUUUUUUCCCCUUGGUAAAAAGGGGGUCUUUUUAAAUUUUCGUGAUCGCCUGGGCGAAUGUAAAGUUGAUAUGUUGAGGUAUUUUUUUAGGGCAAAUUACGAGGGAAUGCAUCGGUGAGAGAACGAGAAUGUGAGCCUCGGGAUAAUUAAAUCGGUUGUCACUGAAUGGCUAGACUCUAACGAACCUUUUUUCAUUCACACGUAUUUUUUGAAGUGUUGAUGUGUAUAAUGGAGCCAUUUCGAGUGAAAAACCAAGAACGUUGUGUGUCUGGAAUCGAAUGGUUCAAAGGUCAUCCAGAAGUGCUAGACUACCAAACGAUCCCUCUUUUUGGUCUAAGAUCUUGUUUAAGUGUAACACCUGAGAUCGACGAGAGGGGAAUAAGGUUACAUGUAUACAUCGCGAGGGAGAGGGAGGGUUAUUCGGUGGCGAUUGGAGGCAUGACAAUGAGGCACUCCUAGGAACUGCUAGGGGAAAAUCUGAAUUUCAUAUUGAAUGAAGAGGGGAUCAUGAGGCUGUGUGUAGUAUUGAGAACCUACAUGUUGAAAGAAGACUGUAUAAGGAAUUUGAUUUGAUGAGCUACCAUACCAUCAAGAUGCAUCUUCUUGUUCGGGUAGGCGGCUAACAGAUAAAAGGAACGACCAUAGUUAAUGUGAUGCUUAACUUGGAGGAGUAGUAUUUGAUGGGUGGACAUUCUUGGGAAAGUUGUCUCAUAAAGCAGUGUGAGUGAGGACAAGAAUCAUGCCCUGAAAAGACCUUGGUGUUGCGUUGUGUGGGGUCAGUCGGAUACAUCUGAAAGCAGGUCUGAGGAUUACAGUUAAGUGUUUUUAGAGAAUUGGAAAGAAAGACUAAACGGCUUAGCUCUAAGAGGUGUAUCCUAGGACUGCAUUAGGAGGAUUCAAGUUAUAUGCGAGACCUGCAAGGGACCUCUUCUUUCAUGUUCAUGUAAAUGCGGCAAAGGAAAUGAAUCACAUUAGUGGUGAAAAUGAUGGAGAUACCCGAUGGUUGAGAUUAGGAAAGAUAUAUUUAAUGCGAGUUGCCUUGAAACAUACGAAAGGUGGCUUAACCUUAAAAUUUUAAAUUUACAUUGAUAAACUUAAGGUUGAUUUAAAACAAAUCAUUAUUAUCAAAUUUUACUCUUAAAUGGACUAAAGCUUAACAAAAAUAAUAAGAGAAUCGAAGAAGGGCCUGACUAAAAGUAACCACAUGAUUGAAAAGGGCCCAAUUAACAUUAUAUUAACAUUAUAAAUUAAAUAUUAUUGAAUAUGAGUAAAAAAAAAAUCUAAAUCUAAAUAAUUUCUUAAUAACUCACAUAUGAAAUUUAAAGAGUUGCAAUCAAUUUCAUAAUGGUUACAAUUAAAACAACAAUAAUAAUAGUGUUUGACAUUUUAAAACAUACACAAAAAGUCCUAACUAGAUAACAACAGGGCACAUGACAUGUUAUUUAACAUUAAAACAAAUAAUGUAGAGUGUGAAAUCAUCAAGAGGAGAAAAAUAAGGGAUUGGAAACGCCUCGUCCCUAUCAUUUCUUGGAAUGUCUGAUCUCUUCAAGCUUCCUCCCAAAUAAUUCUAGUAAAGUAAAAAAGAAUCCUCAAUAAGGGGCACAACCUCAUAAACAAAAUCACCGAUUCCAUUUUUCAGUAGUAAAUUAGAAAAUAGAUAAAGGUGUGGAAGCGAAGUAACCAAGGAAUCGAAAUGGAAAAGGAAGGAAAGGCGACAAGCGACACCAGUAUGGCGUCGGCUAUGGCGGAAACACGGUGGAUCCGUGGAGGAUGAUUUUGAGUGUUCCUUCUGGAUCCAACUUUUUGCUUCUCAGUUUAGUGUUAUGCUCAAACAUGUUAUUGUGGAUUAAUGAACAUCGGUUGAAGGAAGUCCAUGCGACGGAGGAGGUUCUGUAUGGUGGCCGGAGGAAGGAAAGAAAUUAGGGUUUUGUUGUCCGCUGUGUUUUGGUCGAAAGAUGAGUGUUGAAGAGUGAGGGUGAUGGUGUUCCCGCAUGGAGUGGAAGUAUGGUAUGAGGUAGGUAGAUGAUAAUGGUUAUGGAGUAAGCUAGAAAAAGUGGAAAGUGAAACCGGGAGAGUAAAAGUUAGUCUGUUAUUGUUUGAAGAGGAUGAAAUGGUUGAGAAACGGGAUUUGUGGUGGUCAGGUAUUGUAGGAUGGUUGGACAUUCAUGUAAGUUGUAAUGAGAAGAUUCAGUCUGCGAGAUGUGAGUUUGGAUGAUCGUGGGGAGAGCGCGUGUUUUAUGAAGCGGGCGCUGUUACCAGUGUAAGUGGUGGAGUUUAUAAGUGGCGAGGUUUAGGUUUAUAGUUGAGCGGUUAAUGGCAUGAGGAAGAAGUUUCGGAUGGAGGUUAUCCGUUAGCAAUUGGUUCAUAGGCGAUAAAGAAAAAUCGCGAGAACAGUGGGAGAUUCUUCUUUUUUAAUGGAAGAAAAUAUAGAUCCUUUAAUGUGUUGUAAAGGAGAGUAAGGAUGAAAAUAGUGAUUGAGAGAGAGUCCCUUGAAAAGAUGAGAGUGAUCCCCUCGUGAGAAAUUGGGGAGUAUAUUUGUUGUUUAAUAUCUUUUUACAUGUGAGGAAGAGAGUAUAUUAUGUGUGAUAUAAUUGAGCUGAGUUUUAUUUUUGGAGAGGGAUCCUUCUUUUUACAAGCAUGCGGACUGAUUUAUGUGUAUAUGGUCACCCUUUGUGGCAGUAACAUUAACUUAAGUAUAGUAGAUUACUCAAAAUAUAACAAAUAACCCGAAUGCCCUUUGAAGAUAUUUAAGAAGGAUAAAGAGAUUAAAACUAGUUAAAUCCAAUAAAUAAAACUAGCUAAAUAAUCAAAUUAGAAUCGAAACAAAAAUAAUAAGAAAAGUUCUAUUAUGGCAUUUCGAACACUUUGACAAAGAAAGUAAAAAUUAAAAGACUCACGAAUGAAUACAAAUCAGACCGCAAGAAAUUCGAAAAAUCAAAAAUGAAUGCAAUAAAUGAUUCUGUACGAAUAACCUCUGGAGAAACAUUACAGGUUUUUAGUAAAGAUUUUAAAAGUAAAAAUGAUCGUAUAAGAAGAGCUCAAGAUGGUCAAAUGCGACGGAAAAAGGGAUUCAAAAAACACAAUGCGGCCACACCAGGAAAUAAAGUGAAACAGAUAAACAGCGAAGCUGAAGACAGAUCUAUAUAAUAAUAGAUUACGCGACAAGCUCGAGUCUGAGAUUGUCUUUGGCACUGUCUAAUUUGUAAAGUGUUACAUUUCGAAAAUUGAUCGAAGUCGAUAUGGUUGUUGGUAUACCGAAAAUUAUUCUAGUUGAUAUUUAGGUAUUAUGCAUGAGUGAGAAUGCAUGUUAAUGUAGUGCAGAGAUGAUCAAAGUAAAGUAAAGUGUAUGAUACAUGAAAUUGUAAACUGUUCCAGACCAAAUGGGGUGAUGACAUGAGUGAGAACUAUUGUUGAUGCAUUUAAAUGCAUGGUUAGUUUUACAGUGAAUUGGGAUUGUAAUCAUGUCUGUUGAUUUGUCGUGUGUGUAAUUGUAUGCCAUACACAUAUGUUUGUGUGAAAGAGUUGAGUGCACAAUUCAGAUGUGGACUAGUGAACUUGUCCGAAGCUCAGGAUGAGGGGGUCCAGGGUUCAGAUGUAAGACUCAGUUCGUAAUGAAACGCAUUGUUGUUUGGGGGUACCCGACAUUGCAUAAGAGUCGAUGGGUGUUUACAUUGCAGUAUCAGUUGGAAUUUGUGAAUUGAUGUUGUUUGUGUGAUAUAGUUACUGUUGAUGAUUGUUGUUGUUGUUUGUUUAGGCGUAUCAUUCCAGAUCUUUUUCAAACCGCUAACAUAUUUGAGUGUGAUUCUCGCACCUUUGUGUUUUGUUGUGUGUUGAUGUACAUGAUAGUGAGGAUACUCAAGAACAAGGAGUAGUAGUAUUGGGUUGGAAGUUGGUCGUGGAGUCAAUCUUCAUUUACUUUAUUAUUAUUAUUUUAGUCCGUUAAUAUUCUAUCUUGUACACAAUCGAGAUUUGGAAGGCGGGUCCUUAUUUUUAUUUUUGUUGUUGAGUAAUCACUUGGACGAUGAUAUUUAUUUAGAAAUUUAAAAUUAAUGAGAUAUUUGAAGCUUUAUGAAAUGUUAAUUUUGAAAAUUCCGCUGCGAAGUGUUUUGAUUUAACAUUCAUGAACUUAUGCAUGUUGUAUUGAGAGUAGGCAUCCUAAAUAUUAUUCAAAUAAUUAUUUUUAUAUAAAUUCGGGUUCUAUUGUGUUACAGUUCUAAUGGACAGAUACUUGAAUAUCAUUAAUUUUAGAAAGGUUUGAUUAUCGUGUAUUGACUGAAUUUUCUAGUAGUAGAAGUGUUUUCUUGCUCUUUCUGAGCGAAAGUAUGUGUUUUUAAGGUAAAGUAUAAGAUGAAGUCUUUAUUGGUUGUCUGUGUGAUGGGUAAUACCAGUUUUGGUCUAGGUGAUGUGAAUUAUAUAGUGCACAUUAUUAGUUUUUAUUUGAGUUUUUUAAUAUUUGGUGUUGAUAUAGUAUUGUAAAUAAUGUGACCUCAUUGUAUAUUUGUUAUUGGUUAAUUAUGAAUUGAUUAAACCAAUAUUUUAAAAAUCGACCGAAUUGAUUGAUUUCAACCAAUGGAAAUGGAAAUCGGAGUUUGAAUACGUCAACCUUAUUAUAAACCACUAGUGGGCUCAAAAGUGGAGUAAAACCAAAAAAUUCGAAAUUGAACGUCUAACACGGUCGAAUCAAAGAAUCAAGUCGAUUUUUGUAAAACUUAUCGCGGUUCACAAAAUAUAUAUCAAAAUUUUCAUUUUUAAAUUUUUUUUUUGAAAAAGUUUAAUAUGUGAAUAUCAAAACUUAAAACAUUCACCCAUUCACAAAAAAAUGAAUUCUUGUUUAAUUUACAACCUAUAUACACUUCUAAGUUCUAUCACUUCGUUUAUAAUUUUUCUUUCAACCACGCUUCAUCAGUCAUCACGCUUUCUAAUUUCAAAACAUGUACAUUUGUCCAACUGAAUUAUUGGUUUCACUUAAAUAUUGUUUCGCUAUUGUCCAAUUAUGACUUGAUGGUUAAUCGUCAGUUAAAAUUCACGAUUUGCUUACGUUGAUUCAAUAAGGUAUAUAUAUACUUAUAUUUUUGAAUAAUUCUAUCCUACUUAAUUUAGAUAUUCUUAAUAAUUAAAUUAUGUUUAGGUUAUUAUUUGGUUGAAUUGAUUUAACUUAUUUUAUUGAAAUUAUUAUAAUUGUGUUCAAAUUUUUCUUAAAUGAAAUUGAAAUUAAGUGUAUACUGAUGCUGUCUUAUUAUAACAAGAUCGAUAAUUGUUGUAUUAAAUUGUAAAGAUAAUUUGAAAAUAGUUAUUUUAUUAAGUUGUAUAAAAUAUAUAAUUGUGUAUGAAACAAUGAAUCAUAAAACUUAUUUUCAAAUUUAAAUUUUCUUAAGUAAGUUCGCGUAGGUCUAUCCGGUUUAAUACAAUUAAACCUUAACCGAAGUUUCAGCAGUUUUGACUCCGAUCGGAUUUUUUAAAAUAUUGUGUAGAAAUAGCAACACAGAGAAAAAAUUACAACACAAGCCAAUAAUAGGAAAAUAAGGGAACGGCUUUAUAUUUUAUUGUAACAUGAUUCAUUCAUUAUUAGUAAUUAAGACACCUAUAAAUUGUCCAUAUGUUUAGCUGUUAACAAUUAUUAACAACAUAUGUAACAACAACAAUAAUAAUAUAUAUAUAUUAUAUAUAUAUAUAUAUUAUAUUAUAUAUAUAUAUAAUAUAUAUAUAAUUAUAUAUAUAUUAUAUAUAUAUAUAUUAUAUAUAUAUAAAUAUAUAAUAUUAAUAUAUAUAUAUAAUAUAUAUAUAUAUAUAUAUAUAUAUAGAAUAUAUAUAUAUAUAUAUAUAUAUAAUAUUAUUAUAUUAUAUAAUAUAUAAUAUAUAAACAUAAAGUUACUACUUUCUCAAUAUAAUACAAUCUUUAUUCUUAUAGACAUAUAUAUCCUUCAUACAAGGUUAUUAUUCUAGUUAUAUUAUUUCGUGUUCAACCUUAGUGAGGCGUUGAUAUUUCAUGAUCGCUUAUUAGAAUCAAAUUCCGCUGGCGACUCCAACAAUUGGUAUCAGAGCCAAUGUGAUAAAUAGUAGAGUGGUAACUUUAAUAAUUUUUGGUAUCAAAGAUUAAAUGGCUUUCGUACUAAGUGGAACCGUCAGUGUGUAAUAGUGAAAUUGAAAGUUCAAUGGGAAAAUAUGAUUUUUUUCCUAUGGCAGAUGCAGAUGAAAAUCUGCAUUAGUUCAACAAAAGUUGCACAAAGCAUUACGGGAAAAGAAAAAAACCGAGAGUAAUGAAGUGAUGAGGAUUGGGAAGGAGUUUAGAUCUUGAAGCACGGGCGCCAUAAUCUUAAUGCCUCUGAAGGGAUUUGCAUUCUUUGGUAAUGAAAGAGCAACGCUGCUGGCGGUGUGUCAAGUUAGAGAGAUAAUUCAUGACGAAAACUUCUACCCAAAUUCGGAUCUACUUAAAGUCCAAAUUGUAUAUUCUGCAAGAAUGGAGGAAGGCACCUCAAGUCCGGCGAGUAAUGCAAACAAGUGAUAGGAUUACAAUCAGACUGAAGAUGUAGAAGUGAAGAUUGAUGAAGAAGCCAAAGCAUUGUUGUUAGCUGCUUUUCAAUUACCAAGAGUCCUAUGGAAAAUCUAGUCCAAACAAUGAUGCAUGUGGGUGAUACUCUAAACCAUGGAUGAAACGUAGAACUCAAACUCUAUGCAGAUAUCUUCGUAAGGUUCUACAAGAUGGGAUGUCAAAUAGCAGUGAAAGAGAACAGCUUAGGGAUUAUUUGUUACUAAGGGAGGACAAAAUGAAAGAGGGACAAGGCAGGGAAGAAGUCUUAGAUCAAAAUCUAGAGUUCCUGUGGAUAAGCGCGUGUUUAAAUGUGGUGAGCUUGGGCACUUUAAAAGACAAAUUUGUCCAAAAUAAGGGGUAGAUUAAUUUAAGCAAGUACACCCAAUAAACGAAGAACUACUCCAGAGGUAAACAAGUUUGCAGGAGGCGAGUUAGUCUCUAAUGGCGAGGAUUGUUGCUUCGUCAGUUUCAGAACCAAGACCAAUGAUAAUCUCCGGGGAUGGAUGGCUUGAUUCAGAGAGCUUCAACACCAUAUGUGCCCAAAAUAGGAAGUGGUUUACUACUACCAAAAGCACAGAUGGUUGGUACAGUUUUAAUGGGAAAAUAACCAUGCUAUAAAAUUAUGGGUAUGUACCAUAACGAAAUCAAGAUAGCUGAUGAGCGGUAAAGGACUCUGAAUGAACGUGAGACAAUGUCCCCUAAUUUGCGGCAAAAACCUUAUUAUCUCUCUUGUGUAUAGGAGGAUGGUUGCAAAAUAAUCUGGAAAAUGAGGCUUAAAGGUUUGUUCGUGGCUCUUUCGUUGUGAUGAAGGGGGUUUCGUCACAGGAAUUGUAUCCUCUUAUUGGGGGGAAACUGUCGCAGGUAUUAUGCUGUUGGAGAUCAGCUGGAAUAAAGAUCAAACUGCAACUGUACCAGGAAUGUGGCAUAUGCGCCUUGGGCAAUUAUGUCUGAAAAGCGGUCUAAUCGACUGCUGUGCAAGAAAGGUUUGCUAAGAACAUGGAAAAAGCCAUCAUGGAAUUUUGGUGAACAUGUGUGUGUAUGGCAAAGCACAUAGAGUUCGGGUUUUCUACAGCAAGCAAUAAAAAAGGAAUGUCUUAGAACUACGGUGCAUACUGACGUUUGGGUCCGGCUCCGAUUACUCUACGGGUGUUCUAGGUACUUCUGUAACAUACUUGAUGCAUAUUCGAGAUAUGCUUGGAUUUAUUUCCUCUAAGCAUGAAGGAAUGAGGUAUUUGAUACUUUCAAAGUGUUGGGAAAGCAAUGUUGAGAAAGACAUAACUCGCCUCCUGCAAAUCUUGUUUACCUCUGGAGUAGUUUUCGUUAUUGGUGUACUUCUUAAAUAAUACCCUCUUAUUUGGACAAUUUGCUUUAAAGUGCCCAAGCUCACCACAUUUAAAACACGCCUUAUCCACAGGAGCUCUAGAUUUUGAUCUAGACUUCCUUCCCCUGCCUUGUCCUCUUUCAUUUGUCCUCCCUUUAGUAACAAAUAAUCCCUGAGCUUGUUCUCUUCCACUGCUAUUAGACAUCCCACUUGUAGCAACCUUACGAAGAUCAUCUGCCAUAAGUGAUGUUCUAGUUUCAUCCAUGGUUAGAGUAUCACCCACAAGCAUCAAUGUUUGGACUAGAUUUUCAUAGGACUCUGGUAAUGAAAGCAGCAACAACAAUGCUUGGUCUUCUUCAUCAAUCUUCACUUCUACAUCCUUCAAGUCUGAUGUAAUCCUAUCAAACUUGUUGACAUACUCCCGGAUUGAGGUGCCUUCCUCCAUCUUGCAAGUAUACAAUUUGGACUUUAAGUAGAUCCGAUUUGUUAGAGUUUUCGUCAUGAAAUUACUCUCUAACUUGACCACACGCCAGCAGCGUUGCUUCUUUCAUUAACCAAGAAUGCAAAUCCCUCUCAGGAUUAAGAUUAUGGCGCCCGUGCUUCAAGCAUCUAACUCCUCCCAAUCCUCAACUUCAUACUCUCCGGUUUCUUUUCUUUUCCCGUAAUGCUUUGUGCCAAUCUUUUGUUGACUAAUGCAGAUUUUCAUCUGCAUCUCCAAUAGGAAAAAAAUUCAUUUUUCCAUUGAACUUCUCAAUAUUCAUAUUUACACACUGACGGUUCCACUAGUAGAAGCCAUUUAUCUUUGAUACCAAAAAAUAAUAAAGUUACCACUCUACUAUUUUACAAUUGGCUCUGAUACCAAUUGUUGGAGUCGCAGCGGAAUUUGACUUCUAAUAACGAUAUGAAAUAUCACCCUCACUAAGGUUGAACACGAAAUAAUAUAACUAGAAUAAUAACUUGUAUGAAGGAAUAUAUGUCUAAAGAAUAAAGAUUGAUUAUAUUGAGAAAGUAGUAACUUUAUGAUUUAUAUAUAUAUAUAUUAUAUAUAUAUAAUAUAUAUAUAUAUAUAUAUAUAUAUAUAUAUAUAUAUAUAUAUAUAUAUAUAUAUAUAUAUUAUAUAUAUAUAUAUUAUAUAUAUAUAUAAUAUAUAUAUAUAAUAUAUAUAUAUAUAUUAUUAUAUAUAUAUAUUAUAUAUAUAUAUAUAUAUAUAUUAUAAUAUAUAUAAUAUAUAUAUAUAAUUAAUAUAUAUAUAUUAUGUUGUGUUACAUAUUGUUGUUAAUAAUUGUUAACAGCUAAAACAUUGGACAAUUUAUAGUGUCUUACAUACUAAUAAAUGAAUGAAUCAUGUUACAAUAAAAUAUAAGCCGUUCCCUUAUUUUCCUAUUAUGGCUUGUGUUGAAUUUUUCUUGUGUUGACUAUUUCUACACAAUAUUUUAAAAAUCGAUCGGAGGUCAAACUGCUGAAACUUUCGGUUUAAGGUUUAAUUGAUUAAACCGAUUAAACCUACGAUCGAACUUACUAUAAGAUAAAUUAUAAUAUGAAACUAAGUUUUAUAGAUAUGUCAUACACAAUAAUAUAUUUUACAACUUAAUAAAAUAAAUAUUUCAAAUAUCUAUUACAAAUUUAAUACAACAAUAUCGAUACUGCUUAUAAUAAGACAGCAUAGUCAUACACUUAAUUUCAAUGUUCAUUUAAGAAAAAUUUGAACAAAUUAAAUAAUUUCAAUAAAAUAAGUUAAAUCAAUUCAAACCAAAAUAAUACCUAAAAUAAAAUUUAAAUUAUUAAGAAUAUCUAAAUUCAAUAGGAUAGAAUUAUCAAAAAUAAAUAAUAUAAUAUACUUAAUUGAAUAAAAGUAAGCAAAUGUGAAUUUAAUGACGAUAAACAAGUCAUAAUUGGACAAUGACGAACAAUAUUAAGUGAACCAAUAUUCAGUUGGACAAUGUGACUAUGUUUGAAAUAGAAAGCGUGAUGAUGAUGAAGCGUGGUUGAAAGAAAAAUUAUAACGAAGUGAUAGAACUUAGAAGUGUAUAUGGUUGUAAAUAAACAAUGAAUUCUUUUUUGUGAAUGGUUGAAUGUUUUAAGUUUUGAUAUUCACAUAUUAAACUUUUCAAAAAAAAAAUUAAAAAUGAAAAUUUUGAUAUAUAUUUUUGAACCGGAUAAUUUUACAAAAUCGACUUCGAUUCUUUGAUUCGAACGGUUUUAGACGGUUCAAUUCGAUUUUUUUGGUUUUACUCCACUUUUGACCCACUAGUGGUUUUAAAAGGUUGAUCGGAUUCAACUCCGAUUCCCAUUCCAAUUGGUUGAAUCAAUCAAUUCGGUUCGAUUUUUAAAAUAUUGGUUUAAUCAUUCAUACAUUACCAAAUAACAAAUAACAAUGAGUACAUAUUACAAUACUAUUUCAACACCAAAUAUUAAAAAACUCAAAUAACAAAAUAAUAAUGUGCACUAUAAAUUACACAUCACCUAGACCAAAACUGGAUUACCCAUCACACAAGACAACCAAUAAAUACUUCAAUCUUAUACUUUACCUUAAAAACACAAUACUUUCCUCAAGAAAGCAAGAAAACACUUUCUACUACUAGAAAAUUCAGUCAUAACAAUAUCAAACCCUUUCUAAAAUUAUGAUAUUCAAGUAUCUUCCAUUAGAACUGUAACACCAUAAACCCCGAAAUUUAUAUAAAAAUAAUUAUUUGAUAAUAUUUAGGAUGCUACUCUCAAACAACAUGCAUAAUUCAGAUGUAAAUCAAAACACUCGCAGCGGAAUUUCAAAUUAACAUUCAUAAACUUCAAAUAUCUCAUCAAUUCUAAAUUCUAAAUCAAAAUAUCAUCGUCCAAUGAUUUACUCAACAACAAAAUAAAAUAAGACGCCUCAUUCUCGAUGUUACAGAUCAGAAUAUUUAACCGACUAAAAUAAUAAAUAAUAAAGUAAAUGAAGAUGAGCUCCAAGACCAACUUCCAACUCACAAUAACUACUACUCUUGUUCUUGAGUAUCUGCACACAUUGUACAUCAACACACGAACAAAACAACAAAGGUGCGAGAAUACACUCAAAUAUGUUAGCGGUGAAAAAGAUCUGGAAGGAUAGCCUAAACAACAACAACAACAAUCAUCAACAGGUAAUAUAUUCACACAACAAUCAUCAAUUCACAAAUUCCAACUUGUAUGCAAUGUGACAACACCUCGACUCUAUAUGCAUGUGGUACCAACUCAACAAUGGUUUUUCAUACGAACUGAGUCUUAACAUCUGAACCCUGAGCCCCCUCAUUUGAGCUUCGGACAAGUCACUAGUCCAAACAUCUGAACUUGUGACUCAACUCUUUCACAACAACAUAUGAUGUAUGGCAUACAAUAACACAACGACAACAAUACAACAAUGAUUACAAUCCCAAAUCUCACUGUAAAUAACCAUGCAUUUAAAUGCAUCAACAAUAGUUCUCACUCAUGUCAUACCCCAAUUUGGUCUGGACAGUUUAAAAUUUUCAUGUAUCUAACUUUACUUUACUUUGCAUCAUCUGCAUAACAUAACAUGCAUUUCAUCAUGCAUAAUACCUAAAAUAUCAACUAGAAUAAAUUUUCGGUUAUACAAACAUAUCGAUUGAAUCAAUUUUCGAAUGUACAUAAAAAUUAGCAGGCAAAAAAUUUCAAGAUCGAGCUUGCAGGCAUCAAUUUUAUUAAUCUGUUGUUCGCGUAGUUUUAUCUGGUGUGCCCAUUUGAUUUUUUGACUCCUUUUUCGGUCGCAUUUUGACCAUCUUGAGCCUUUUUAACCGAUCAUUUUUACUUUAAAAUCUUACUAAAACCUGUAUGUUUUCCAGAGGUUUAUUUCGUACAGAUCAUUUUAUUGCAUUCAUUUUGAUUUUUCGAACAUUUUUGCGUCUGAUUUGUAUUCAUCGUGAGUCUUUUUAAUUUUAUUUCUUUGUCAAAGUGUUCGAAAUGCAUAAAUAGAACUUUUUAUUAUUUUUGUUUCGAUUUAAUUUUGAUUAUUUAGAUUAGUUUAAUUUUAUUGGAUUUUUAACUAGUUUAAUCUCUUUUAUCUCUUAAAUAUCUUCAAAGGGCAUUUCGGUAUUUGUUAUAUUUGAGUAACCCUACUAUAUAAGUUAAUGUUACUGCCAAAAGGGUGACCAUAUACACAAAAUCCAGAUCCGCAAUGCUUGUAAAAAGAAGGAUCCCUCUCCAAAAAUAAAAACUCAGCCAAUAUACACACAUAAUAUACUCUCUCCUCACAUGUAAAAGUAUAACAACAAAUAUACUCCCCCAAUUCUCAGAGGGGACUCACUCUCAUUUUUCAAGGGGACUCUCUCUCAUACUUUUUCAUCCUUCUCUCUCUACACACAUUAAAGGACUAUUUUUCUUCCAUUUUAAAAAGAAGAAUCUCCCACUUUCUCGGAUUUUUUCUUUUCUGCAUGAACCAAUCUGCUAAAGGAUAACCUCCAUGAAACUUCUUCCUCCAUGCCAUAACCGCUCAAUAUAAACUAACCUCCGCCAUUAAAACUCCACACCUUACAUGUAACAGCGCCUUCAUAACACGCUCAUCCACGAUCAUCCAAACUCACAUCUCAGACCGAUCUUCUCAUUACAACUUACCAUGAAUGUUCCACACCAUCCCUACAAAUACCCUUGACCACCACAAAUCCCGUUUCUCAACCAUUCAUCCUUCAAACAACUAACAACUAACUUUUACUCUCCCGGUUUCACUUCCACUUUUUUCUACUACUCCAUAACCAUAUCAUCUACUACUCAUACCAUAUUACUCCAUCGGGGAACACCAUACCCUCACCUCUUCAACACUCAUCUUCGACCAAACACAGCGGACAAACAAAACCUAUAUUUCUUUCCUUCCCUCCGGCCACCAUACAGAACCUCCUCCGUCGUGGACUCCUUCAACCAUGUUCAUAAACCACAAUAACAAGUUUGAAGCAAAACUAAAAGAGAAGAAAAAGUUGGAUCAGAAAGGAAACUAAAAUCAUCUCCACGGAUCCACCGUGUUUCCGCCAUAGCCGACGCCAUAGGUGUCGCUUGUGUUCCUUCCUUUCCAUUUUCGAUUCCUUGGUUCUUGCUUCAACUUUAUUAUUUUAAUUUAUACUGAAAAAUGGAAUCGUGAUUUUGUUAUGAGUUGCUCUUAUUUGAGGAUUCUUUUUUAUUUACUAGAAAAUUAUUUGGGAGGAAGCUUGAAAUCAGACAUUAAGAAUGAUAGGGACGAGGCGUUUCAAUCCCUUCAUUUUUCUCUCUUGAUGAUUUCAUAUACUACUUAUUUGUUUUAAUGUAAAUAACAUGUCAUGUGCCUUGUUGUUAUUAGUUAGGAUUUUUGUGUAUGUUUUUAAAAUGUCAAACAACUUAUUAUUAUUGUUGUUAUAAUUGUAACCAUUAUUGAAAAUUGAUUUGAACUCUAAAUUUCAAUAUGUGAGUUUUUAAGAAUUAUUAGAUUUAGAUUUUUUUUACUAUAUUAAUAAUAUAUUAAUUAUAAUGUUUAAUGAUAAUGUUUAAUUGGGCCCUUUUUAAUCAUGUGGUUCUUAGUCAGGCCCUUUGAAUUUCUCUUAUUACUUUUUGGUAGCUUUAGUCCAUUAGAGUAAAUUUGAUAAUAAUUGAUUUGUUUUAAAAUCAACUUAAAGUUUUAUCAAUGUAAAUUUUAGAAAUUUUAAGGUUAAGCACUUUCGUAUAUUUCAAGGCAACUCGAUUAAAUAUUUUCCUAAUCAAAUCGGGUUAUCUCAAAUCAUUUUCCACUAAUGUGAUUCAUUUCUUUGCCGCUUACAUGAAGCAUGAAAGAAGAGGUCCCUUGCAGUCUCGCAUUACUUGAAUCCUCUAAUGAUCAGUCUCUAGGAACACGUCUUAGGCUAGCCGUUUAGUCUUUCUUUCAUUCUAAAACACUUAAUGUAAUGCCUCAGACUGCUUUCAGAUGUAUCGACUGACCCCACAAACCAACACAGGUCUUUUCAGCAUGAUUUGUCCUCACUCACAUGCUUUAUGAGAAACUUCCCAGAAUGUCACCCAUCCAAAUACUACUCCAAGUUAAGCAUACUUAACUAUGGUGUUCUUAUCUGUUAGGCUACCGAAAAGAAGAUGCAUCUUAUUGGUAUAGGUAGUAUCAAUCAAUCCUUAUAAGUCUUCUUUCAACCAUGUAGUCUCAUAUAUACACAGCCUCAUGAUCCCUCUCAUUUCAAUAUGAAUUCAGUUUUUCCCUAGAAGUUGCUAGGAGUGCCUCAUUGUCAUGCCUCAUGCACCGAUAACCACUCCCUCUCCCUCGGGUGUUACAUGUAACCAUUAUCCUCCCUCGUCGAUCUCAGGUGUUACACUUAACACAAACUUAGACAAAAAGAGGGAUCGUUGGAGUCUAGCAUUCUGGUGGAACCUUUGAACCAUCGAUUCCUAGACACACGUCUUGUUUUUAUCGAAUGUCCAUUAUCCAUCAAACAAACUUCAAAAAUACGUUGAAUGAAAAAGGUUCGUUAGAGUCUAGCAUUCUAGUGAAACCCCGAUUAAUUUAUCCCGAGGCUCACAUCUCGUUCUCACCGAGCAUUCGUAAUUUGCCUAAAAAAUACUCAACAUAUCAAACUUAAUUUCUCGCCCCAUGCGAUCAAUAACCUUUUACAAAAGAACAUUAUCUAAUUCUUUCAGCAUGAUUUGUCCUCACUCACAUGCUUUAUGAGAAACUUCCCAGAAGGUCACCCAUCCAAAUACUACUCCAUGCUUAACUAUAAAGUUCUUAUCUGUUAGGCUACCGAAAAGAAGAUGUAUCUUAUUGGUAUAGGUAGUACCAAUCAAUCCUUAUAAGCCUUCUUUCAACCAUGUAGUCUCAUAUAUACACAUCCUCAGGAUCCCUCUCAUUUCAAUAUGAAUUCAGUUUUUCCCUAGAAGUUGCUAGGAGUGUCUCAUUGUCAUGCCUCAUGCACCGAUAACCACUCCCUCUCCCUCGGGUGUUACAUGUAACCAUUAUCCGCCCCCGUCGGUCUCAGGUGUUACACUUAACACAAACUUAGACAAAAAGAGGGAUCGUUGGAGUCUAGCAUUCCGGUGGAACCUUUGAACCAUCGAUUCCUAGACAUACGUCUUGUUCUUAUCAAAUGUCCAUUAUCCAUCAAACAAACUUCAUACAUACGUUGAAUGAAAAAGGUUCGUUAGAGUCCAGCAUUCCAGUGAAACCCCGAAUAAUUUAUCCCGAGGCUCACAUCUCGUUCUCACCGAGCAUUCGUCAUUCGCCUAAAAAAUACUCAACAUAUCAAACUUAAUUUCUCGCCCCAUGCGAUUAAUAACCUUUUACAAAAGAACAUUAUCUAAUUCUUUCAGCAUGAUUUGUCCUCAUUCACAUGCUUUAUGAGAAACUUCCCAGAAGGUCACCCAUCCAAAUACUACUCCAUGCUUAACUAUGAAGUUCUUAUCUGUUAGGCUACCGAAAAGAAGAUGCAUCUUAUUGGUAUAGGUAGUACCAAUCAAUCCUAUAAAGCUCUUCUUAAAUCCAUGUAGUCUCCAUAUAUACAAUUAACCUCAUGAAGUCCUUCUUAUUUCGAUAUGAAUUCAGUUUUUCCCUAGAAGUUGCUAGGAGUGUCUCAUUGUCAUGCCUCAUACACCGACAACCACUCCCUCGCCCUCGAGUGUUACAUGUAACCAUUAUCCAUCCUCGUCGACCUCAGGUGUUACACUUAACACAAACUUAGACAAAAAGAGGGAUCGUUGGAGUCUAGCAUUCCGGUGGAACCUUUGAACCAUCGAUUCCUAGACGCACGUCUUGUUCUUAUCGAAUGUCCAUUAUCCAUCAAACAAACUUCAUACAUACGUUGAAUGAAAAAGGUUCGUUAGAGUCCAGCAUUCCAGUGAAACCCCGAAUAAUUUGUCCCGAGGCUCACAUCUCGUUCUCACUGAGCAUUCGUCAUUCGCCUAAAAAAUACUCAACAUAUCAAACUUAAUUUCUCGCCCCAUGCGAUUAAUAACCUUUUACAAAAGAACAUUAUCUAAUUCUUUCAGCAUGAUUUGUCCUCACUCACAUGCUUUAUGAGAAACUUCCCAGAAGGUCACCCAUCCAAAUACUACUCCAUGCUUAACUAUGAAGUUCUUAUCUGUUAGGCUACCGAAAAGAAGAUGCAUCUUAUUGGUAUAGGUAGUACCAAUCAAUCCUUAUAAGCCUUCCUUUAAACCCAUGUAGUCUCAAUACUAUAUCAUAACCUCAUGAUCCUUCUUAUUUCGAUAUGAAUUCAGUUUUUCCCUAGAAGUUGCUAGGAGUGUCUCAUUGUCAUGCCUCAUACACCGACAACCACUCCCUCGCCCUCGAGUGUUACAUGUAACCAUUAUCCGUCCUCGUCAACCUCAGGUGUUACACUUAACACAAACUUAGACAAAAAGAGGGAUCGUUGGAGUCUAGCAUUCCAGUGGAACCUUUGAACCAUCGAUUCCUAGACGCACGUCUUGUUCUUAUCGAAUGUCCAUUAUCCAUCAAACAAACUUCAUAAAUACGUUGAAUGAAAAAGGUUCGUUAGAGUCUAGCAUUCCAGUGAAACCCCGAAUAAUUUGUCCCGAGGCUCACAUCUCGUUCUCACCGAGCAUUCGUUAUUCUCCUAAAAAAUACUCAACAUAUCAAACUUAAUUUCUCGCCCCAUGCGAUCAAUAACCUUUUACAAAAGAACAUUAUCUAAUCCUUUCUAACGUGUAUACAAACUAGCGCUUAAGCCCUCCCCGCCCCCCCCCCCCCCCCCACCCCGAGCAUGCAAGGCAAUGUUUAAUCGUUAAAAUGCGAUCUAAACACUUGUUUAGUAAAACAAACUUCAACCAAUCAAAUAUUUUCUCACCCCCGCAUAAUCAAAAACCCUUUUUAAAAAAAUAAUAUUGUUUAGUGCGUUAUAAUAUGAAUACAAACAAACGAUUAAGCCUCCCAUGCGCGAGCAUACAACAACGUUUAACCGCUAGAACGCGAUCAAACAUGAUCCUUUCUACCGUGAAACAAACAAACGGUAAGUCUCCCAUGAGCGAGCAUACAAGCCGAUGUUUAACUAUUAGAAUGCGACCUAAACAUUUGUUUAUUAAAAUAAAUCAACCAACACUCAUUUGCUACCAAGAACUACAUAUCUUUGAGUUCUCCAUCGCACCUGAAGAUACGUAGGAGCAAGACUCGCAAUCUUGUUAAACAGCCUAAUAAAACUUUUUUUGACCCCUUUUAUUUUCCAUUUGCACAUUUCAUUACUUGAAGAAAACAAAUAACAUAGCUAACAUUCAAUCACAAAUCUAACUAAAAGGUUCCCAUUAAGUACAACGAAUGUGAGGGAUGUUAAUACCUCCCCCUUGCAUAAUUAACUCCCGAACUCGAAUUUCUUUGCAACGACCAUCUUCCUAUUUUUAAAAGGAUUUUAUCAAUAUUUUCCAUUUCCUUAUGUGUAAUAAAUAAAGUUUGGUGGUAACUCUAUUCAAAUCAUUUUUCUACGAGUGCGUGAAUGCUUCGCGAAGGAUUGUAUUUUUUUGAGGUACGACAACUGGCGACUCUGCUGGGACAUUUCUCCUGCAAGAGAGAGCCAAGCCUAAUUUAGUUCACUUUGCGAUAAAUGUUGGCUUUACUUAUUUGUUUUCUUCGUGCUUUCUCUUUCUAUAUGAUUUACAUAUUUGUUUUCUUUCUGCUUUCUCUUUUUAUAUUAUAUGUUUAUCAUCCUGUUUAUCUCUGGAAUCCUAGGAUGAUACCUUGAGUAAAGCUCUACACCUGAGCUUUUGAAAAAGAAGAGAGAACAUAUAAGUUAGAAUGGAAGAUAUAUAUUGUUAGUCCCCAAGGACCAAUUCUUGUGUUCCUAACAUGAAGACUCCCCCUGGAGUAGACCUUUUCGUAGAUAUCAUUAUAAAGCAUUUCUUAAACAAAUUUUCUUUAAAAAAUAAGGCAUAUAUUCACAAAUAAAUGUAUAAAAUAGAAUCACCAAUAAGUAUUCCAAAACUAUAGUUCAAGUAUUAACCUUCAACCAACCAAAAUAAAUAUUUUGAGUGCUUGAUAACUAGGUUGGCAGGCUAGCGGGCCAACCCGCCUCUUUUUUCGAAGGGCUUAAAGUGGGGGCAGGUAGGCGGGCACAAAAUCCCAAUCCAACGUGCCAUUUUUUUGCGGGUGCGCGUGCCGGCCCGGAGGGCCAUGACCCGUUUUUGCCACCCUUACCUAUGGAUCAGGGGCAUGGCAUCCAAUGAUUUUGUUGACCUAGUAAUUUGUCAGUCUUAAACAAAUAUUCGAGCAUGAAGCGAUUAGGGAGGUAUGUCAUUUCAAAAUAAUCAGUCAAUCUCGGGCAGGUCCCUCAAAGGCUCAAAUAGGGGCAAGUCAUCUCCAGAGCAUAAUGAACGUCACUUCCAAAGAUAAGUUAAUCCGAAGUAAAUCAUUUCAAGAUCCGGUUAAUCAAGGGAAGACCACUGCAAGAUUCAUACAUUAGGGCAAAUCGUCUUAGGCCAUGUCAUGGUAUAAUCUCUCCCAAAGCUUCCUUUCGAGGAAAAUUCUUCAAAGACCAUACAGAAUGGGGCAUAACAAGCUACAUAAGGAAUAAGUCACCCUCCAUACUUUCAAGUUGGUCAAGCAGACCGUACCAUAUACUAUUAACCGUUGAGUCCACAACAAGUAUCAAGAGAUCACACUAGUACAACAUCACACAUUGACAAGAAGCCUUAGGGUAGAACAAAAGCAUAAUCGACAUGCGUUGAUCAUGUCGCUACACUCAGGAAAAUCAUUUGUAAGAUGUUAUGGCUCAUCAGACACAAAAGUUGAAGUUAUGAGGAACAAAUAACAGCUUUUCAACAACGGAUCAAACUUAGGGUACCAAGAGCAUCCAGAUUCGUCGUUCAAUCAUAGCAUCAUCAGAUUAUGAGUGUCGAGAAGUCAUACCUUUUCACCAUCCAAAGUCCAAUAUCUGUUGGCAUUUCCAUAAACCAAAGUCCAAUCUUCAUUGGCAUCAUUUCCAAAACUCGGUGUUCAUUGGUAAUCCAUAAUCCAACAAUAUUCAAUAAACUAAAAUUCAAUCUCCAUCGGUACCCCAAAUAUUCAGUUUUUCUUGCCCUUUCUGAGGAAAGAAGACCAAGCCCCAUACAAAUCCUAUCAUUUGCAUUCCUACAUGCAUUAAUCAUGACAUUCCAUGCAUCAUGCAUAUUACUUCUCAUUAAGGUGAAGCAUUGUGUCAUUACAAAUAAAAAAUAUUCAUACAUAACAUACUCUUUUCCGACAAUCCUUUGACGAUGUCACUCCCUAGUGAAGUCAUUUUCCUAAAACAAACAUCAAUUUUUAUUUUACCAUUUUUGUUCAUGGAGUUCAAGAACACUUUAAACCCUUUAUUUUGAAGCAAUGGAGUUUCCAUACAAAAUAGUGGUGAUUAAUAUACUAAUUAAGUGCAACAAGAAUAAUAAUACAAAGAAAGUUAAAUAAAAAAAAUUAAAUCACAUUUAAUAACUUUUGCUCAUAGAAGUUCAAAAACACUUUAAACUCUUGAUUUUGAAUCAAUGAAAUUUACAUGCAAAAUGGUGAUGAUUAAGGUACUAAUUAUGUGUAACAAGAAUAAUGCAAAGAAAAUUAAAUAAACGAAAAUUAAAUCACAUUUAAUCACUUUUGCUCAUGGAGGUUCAAGAACACUUUAAACUCUUGAUUUUGAAUCAAUGAAGUUUCCAUGCAAAAUGGUGAUGAUUAAGGUACUAAUUAAGUGUAGAAAGAAUAAUAAUGAAAAUAAAAUUAAAUAUACAAAAAUUAAAAGCCUACCUAAGUAAAGAAGAAUAAAAAGUGACUUGAAAGUUUGAGAAAAAUUUGUGCAAAAUUUUGGCUUGUUCUUGUGACUGAUUUUUGGUGAGAUUUGUGAAUGAGGAUGAUUUUAUUUAUAGGCUCUAAAAAUGAUAGUUUAGGAAUUAUGCAAAGAGUGUGAGUGCCUUCUAGAAACUUAUUUAAUUAAAUAGUGAAUAAUGAUGUAAUAUAUGCAUGGAAUAAUAAUGUAAUAUUUGCACGGAAUAAUGAUGUAAUAAAUGAGAGAUAUUUUUGACCUUCUAGAAACAUUGAUUUUUGUUUUAUGAUGCAUGAAAAUGAUUAAUAAAAUUCAAAUGAAUAUUUUGAUGAUAAAUCAAAUGAUCAUGAAUUUAUUUUUUAAAACGCAUAAUGAAAUAAUGUAAUUUUAGUAAAUUUCUUUAACAUGUAAAAUGUUGACUUUAUGUUGACUUUUAUACUAUAAUGCAUAUAUGCAUGAUUAUGGUGACUUUAUUUGAUGAUAAAAAUGCAUAUGACUAAAAAUUCAAAACUUGACAAAUGAGUAUGAAAUACCCGGAAAAAAUUGGGGUAUGACAGUAAUAAAAUAGGGCAGCUGUCAUAGCUCAAUGUUGUCUAGGCAUUUUAAAACUUUCAUGCAUCUAACUUUACUUUACUUUCAUCAUCUGCACAAUAUAACAUGUAUUUUAUCAUGCAUAAUGAUUAAAAUGUCAACCAGAAUAAAUUUGCGGUUAUACAAACAGAUCGGUUGAAUCAAUUUUCAAAUGAACAUAAAAUUAGCGGGAAUUUUUUUAAGAUCGAGCUUGCAAACAUCAGUUUUGUUAAUCUACGAUUCACGUAAUUUAACCUGGUGUGCUCAUUUUAUUUUUUUUGACUUUUUUUUCGGUCGCAUUUUGACUACCUUGAGCCUUUUUAACCUAUCAUUUUUUACUUUAAAGUCUGAUAAAAACCUGUAUGUUUUUCAGUGAUGUAUUUCGCACUGAUCAUUUUAGUGCAUUCAUUUUAAUUUUUUGAGUAUUUUUGCGCCUAAUUUUUAUUUGUCAUAGGUCUUUUUAUUUUUAUUUCUUUGUCAAAGUGUUUGAAAUGAAUAAGUAGAAUUUUUUAUGUUUUUGUUUCGAUUUAUAUAUGAUUAUUUAGAUUAGUUUAAUUUUGUUGGAUUUUAAACUAGUUUAAUAUAUUUUAUCUCUUAAAAUAUCUUCAAAGGGCAUUUUGCUAUUUGUUAUAAUUGAGUAGCCCUACUAUAUAUGUUAAUGUUGCUGCAAAAAAGGUGACUGAUACACACAAAAACCAGAUCCACGGCGCUUGAAAAGAGAAGGAUCUCUCUCAAAAAUAAAAACUCAGUCAAUAUAUACACACAUAAUAUACGCUCUUCUCAGAUAUGAAACGCUGGAAACAAAUAUACUCCCCCAAUUCUUAGAGGACACACAUUCCAGUUUCCUCUCUCCAAUCCUAUCCUCUCUCUCUCUCUCUCUCUCUCUCUCUCUCUCUCUGAUGUAAAAAAUUAAAAAUGGAAAACAAGAAAGGAAAAUAAUCCUCACUCACCCAGUCUAUGCAUGACACCCAGUCUAUGCAUGAGACCCACUCUAUGCAUGACAACUCACCCACUUAUACCUCUCUCUUUUGAUUUUUUAAAUAGAUAAAAAGGGAAAAUGAAUAAGAAGGAUAGAUGGGGAAAGCAGGACUCAUGAGAAAAACGAUUCAGCCUCCUCAUUUUUCAAGGGACUCUCUCUCUCUCUCUCUCUCUCUCUCUCUCACACACACACACACACACACACACACACACACACACACACUUUUUCAUUUAGUUCUCUCUCUACACAAUCUCUCUCUCUCUCUCUCUCUCUCUCUCACACACACACACACACACACACACACACACACACACACACACUUUUUCAUUUAGUUCUCUCUCUACACACAUUAAAUGACCACUUUCCUUUCCAUUUUAAAAAGAAAAAGACUUUCCCACUUUCUCAAUUUUCUACGUGAACCAACAUGUGAAGGGAUAACCUCUAUGAAACUCCCUUCUUCAUAACAUAUCUGUUCCAUAUAAACUAACAUUCGCCAUUACAACUUCACACCUUACAUGUAAUAUCACAUUCAUAACAUGCUCAUCUAUGGCCAUCCAAACUCACAUCAUCGAACCACCCAUCUCAUUACAACCCACCAUAACUGUUCCACAUCAUCCCUACAAACACCCUUGACCACCACAAAUCCCGUUUCUCAACCAUUCAUCCUUCAAACAACAAACAACACACAUGUACUCUCCUAUUUUCUCAUCCACUUUUCUCUGCUACCCUAUAAUAAGACCCUCUGUCACUCGUACCAUAUUACUUCGUCGGAGAACAUCAUACCCUCACCUCUUCAACACUCCUCUCUAAUCCAAUGCAACGAAUAAACAAAACCUCUAUAUCUUUCAUUCCCUCCGGAUUCUAUACAGAACCUCCUCCACUAUGGACUUCUUCAAACACGUUCGCACACCACAAUAACAAGUUUGAAGCAAAACGAAAAGAGAAUAAAAAGUUGGAUCAUAAAGGAAAUUAAAAUCAUCUCCACAGGAUCACCGAGUUUCUGGCAUAGUCGACGUCAGAGGUUUCGCUUGUGUUCCUUCCUUUCCAUUUUCGAUUCCUUGAUUCUUACUUCAACUUAAUUAUUUUUAUUUAUACAUAAAAAUAGAAUCAUGAUUUUGUGAAUUUCUCUUAUUUGAGUUUUCUUUUUAUUUACUGGAAAAUUGUUUGGGAUGAAGCUUGAAAUUAGACAUUAAGAAAUAGAGGGAGAAGGCGUUUCAAUCCUUCAUUUUUCUCUCUUGCUGGUUUCAUAUAUUAAUUAUUUGUUUUAAUUUAAAUAACUUUCCAUGUUCCUUGUUGCUAUUAGUUAGGAUUUUUGUGUAAGUUUUAAAAAACUCAACAACUUACUAUUAUUACUGAUAUAAUUAUAACCAUUAUUGAAAAUUGAUUUGAACUCUAAAUUUCAAUACGUGAGUUUUUUAAAAUUAUUAGAUUUAUAUUUUUUUACUAUAUUAGUAAUAUAUUAAUUAUAAUGUUUGAUUCUAAUGCUUAAUUGGGGAUUUUUUAAUCAUGUGGCUCUUAGUCAGGUUCAUUGAGUUUCUCUUAUUACUUUUUGGUAGCUCUAGUCCAUUAGAGUAAAUUUGGUAAUAAUUGGUUUAUUUUAAAAUAAACUUAAAGUUUUAUUAAUGUAAAUUUUAGAAAUUUUAAGGUUAGGCACUUUCCUAAAUUUCAAGCCUACUCGAUUAAAUAUUUUCCUAAUCAAAUCGGGGUUAUCUCAGAUCAUUUUCCACUAAUGCGAUUCAUUUCUUUUCCGCUCACUCGAAACGAUUUAAAACAUUUUUCUUAACAAACACGAAAGAAGAGGACCCCUGAAGUCUCACAUUACUUGAACCCUCGAAUUAUCAAUUUCUAGGCACACAUCUUAGGCUUUCAGUUUAUUCUUCUUUCGUUCUAAGACACUUAACACAAAUUUGGACAAAAAGAGGGACCUCUAGAGUCUAGCAUUCUGGUGGAAUGUUUGAAAAAACUAUUAUGAGACACAUAUCUUGUUCUUAUUGAAUGUUCAUUUUCAAGCAAACAAAUUUCAUAAAUGCGUUGACAGAAAGCGGUUCGUUGGAGUCUAGCAUUCCAGUGAAAACCCCGAAUAAUUGGUCUCGAGGCUCACGUCUCGUUCUCACUGAGCAUUCAUCAUUUUCCUAAAAAAUACUCAACAGAUCAAACUUAAUUUCUCGCCCCGUGCAAUCAACAACCUUUUACAAAAAUAACAUUGUCUAAUCAAUUCUAAUAAAUAUACAAACUAGCUCUUAUGUAAUACCCAAUAUUUCCUCAAACACCUAAAUUUCUAUUAAUUUAGGUCAAUUGAGUUCCUAUGUGCUCUAAAAGUGGUCAAUUGGGAUAAAUAGAGCAAAUAGUGAGUUCAGGUUGACUUAAUUAAUAUCAUUUGGAACUGGCCUUUUAUUGAUUGGGACUUUUGGGUAACACUAAUAAUGAGUCAAUAGCUUCGGUAGAACAAAUAUUACAAGUUAGUGCCACUUGAGACAUUUGUUUCUACCACUCCACCCACUUGCUAACCACACAUUUCUCAUGGCCACUUGAUACUAGCCUUGGAUUCAAUCACCACCACAUGUUUGUGUCUUAUGCCACCUACCACUUGCCAUUUGUUUUCUAUGUAUCAAAAAGGAUAAGUAGAGAGAAAUAAAAGCAUAGAAAGAAAGAGGAAGCUUAAGAGAAGAAGGAAAAACAAGGUUAGUGGAGUAGAAGAAGAAGCUAGGAAAGAGCAAGAGUUUGGAACCAACACCAUCAUCUUCAUCCUCAUUUCAUCUUCCACAACUUCUCCUCUUCAAUUUCUUGAGGUGGGUUCUAGUUAGAAACUCUAGGUUUCUAGAAAAUUUAGGGUUGUAGAAUGUUAGACAAAUCAUGAAUAAUCCAUGCUAUGUGAUGAAUAUUUAUCUUGAUGUUGUUGUUUUUAUGAACAUGUGCUUGAUAUGCUCUUCAUGAUUGUUGUGAUUGCAUGAUUUGUUAUGGUUGUGUUUAUGAUGUUAAAAUCCUUGUUAUACAUGUAAUAUGAUGAGUUUUGUUGGAAGAAGAAAUGGAUGGUGUGUUAGAAAUGAAAUAACAAAGGAAAAUGGUGUAUGUUAAGUGAAAUGAGAAAAUGUGAGUGGAUCAAUCGAUUGGCCUCUGUCAACCAAUCGAUUGACAGCCUUUGGUUUAGCAGAAAAAUGGAAUUUUCACAGGACCAAUCGAUUGACACUGCAUGUCAAUCGAUUGCACAAACUUGUUGUAUAUGAACAGUGGAAAUUUUUAACAGGACCAAUCGAUUGACACUCAGGAUCAAUCGAUUGACACUCAACAAAUUUUGAAAAACAGAAAUGUGAGAGGAACCAAUCGAUUGGGCUUCCCUAACCAAUCAAUUGACUUAAGUUAAAAACUUAAAAAUCCAUUUCUUAAGUGUUUUUAAAUGCAUUCUUCCAACCAUUAAUCAAUUAUUAUGCCAUGCUUAAGUUGAAGGACUUUGAUUUUGAGCUUAAGCAUCACCCAGGGAAGGCGAAUAAGGUUGCAGAUGCCUUAAGUCGGAAAGAGAUACAUAAAGCUGAGUUGAUGAUGUUGGAAUACGCAUUGUUGGAAAAGUUCUGAGAUCUUAAUCUUCAGUUUAGUUGGAUGCAGGAUGGUGUGAUAAUGGGAAAUUUGAAUGUUACUUCUAACCUAAGGGAAGAGAUCCGACAAGGGCAAAUGAUAGAUGAGAAAUUGAAAGAGAUGUCGACUAAACCAGGUUUCACUCAGUCACCAGAUAGAGUCAUUCUGUUUAAUCAAAGGAUUUGUGUUCCGAAUGAUAUCGAGUUGAAAAGGAAAGUUUUGGAGGAAGCUCACAAAGGGGCGUUUACUAUACAUCCAGGUUCAUCGAAGAUGUAUCAAGACUUGAAGAAGAACUAUUGGUGGCCUGGAAUGAAAAGAGAUAUCACAAAGUAUGUGUCGGAAUGCAUUGUUUGCCAACAGGUAAAGAUUGAACAUCAGAAGCCAGGUGGGUUAUUGCAGCCUUUAGAGAUUCUAGUUUGGAAUGGGAUAGUAUUUCAAUGGAUUUUGCAGUAGGGUUACCUCGGACCCAAGGUGGUUAUGAUUCAAUUUGGGUGAUUGUGGAUCGGUUGACUAAGUCCGCGCACUUCUUGGCCGUGAAGACUACUUACAAGGCAAGUCAUCUUGCACGGUUGUUCAUUUCAGAAAUUGUUAGGUUGAAUGAUGUUCCUACUAGCAUUGUGUUUGAUAGAGACCCAACAUUUACUUCAAGGUUUUGGAGAGCAUUCCAACAAGCUGUGGGAUCGAUAUUGUGUUUGAGUACCUCUAAUCAUCCUCAGACGGAUGGUCAGACUGAAUGGAUAAUAUAGACACUGGAAGAUAUGUUAAAAGCUUGUGCACUUGAAAGUGGAGGGAAUUGGAAGGAGCUUUUACCAUUGAUUGAAUUCACAUAUAACAAUAGUUAUCAUGCAAGUAUUGGGAUGGCACCUUAUGAAGCUUUGUAUGGACGGAAAUGUAGAACACCUUUAUAUUGGACAGAAGUUGGUGAAGAAAGGAUCUUAGGAUCGGAGAUUAUUCAAGAGACAACGGAAAAGAUAAGGAUGGUCCGUGAUAAGAUAAAGAAAGCACAAGAUCGCCAAAAGAGCUAUGUGGAUCACAGGAGAAGACCAUUGGAAUUUGAUGAAGGUGACCAUGUAUUUUUGAAGGUGACUCCGAGGUUGAAACUGAAAGGACCGUUUAAGUCUCGGAAGCUAAGUCUGAGAUACAUAGGGUCAUACCAUAUUAUAGAGAGAAUUGGAGAAGUAGCCUACAGAUUAGCCUUACCACCUUCUCUAUCUGAAAUGCAUGAUGUUUUUCAUGUAGCUCAACUCCGGAAGUUCAUUCCAGAUUCUCUUUAGCCUAUUCUUCCAGAUUCAAUAGAAGUAGAAGCAGAUCUGAGUUUCGAACCUCUACCAAGUCACAUUACAGGACGAGAAGUUAAGGUAUUAAGGAAUAAGGAGAUCCCUCUUGUUAAGGUUCAGUGGGAUGAAUCACACACAGGCGACGCCACCUGGGAACUAGAGUCAGAAAUGCGAGAAGCUUACCCUCAUCUCUUCCAGGUAAUAUUUAAAUUCGAGGACGAAUUUUUAUUUAGGGGGGUGAGGAUGUAAUACCCCGUAUUUCCUUAAACAUCUAAAUUUCUAUUAAUUGAGAUCAAUUGAGUUCCUAUGUGCUCUAAAAGUUUCCAAUUAGGAUAAAUAGAGCAAAUAGUGAGUUCAGGUUGACUUAAUUAAUAUUAUUCGGAACUGACCUUUUAUUGAUUGAGACUUUUUGGUAACACUAAUAAUGGGUCAAUAGCUCUAGUAGAACAAAUAUUACAAGUUAGUGCCACUUGAGAUAUUUGUUUCUACCACUCCACCCACUUGCUAACCACACAUUUCUCAUGGCCACUUGAUACUAGCCUUGGAUUCACUCACCACCACAUGUUUGUGUCUUAUGCCACAUACCACUUGCCAUUUUUUUUCUAUGUAUCAGAAAGGAUAAGUAGAGAGAAAUAAAAGCAUAGAAAGAAAGAGGAAGCUUAAGAGAAGUAGGAAAAAUAAGGUUAGUGGAGUAGAAGAAGAAGCUUGGAAAGAGCAAGAGUUUGGAACCAACACCAUCAUCUUCAUCCUCAUUUCAUCUUCCACAACCUCCCCUCUUAAAUUUCUUAAGGUGGGUUAUAGUUAGAAACUCUAGGUUUCUAGAAAAGUUAGGGUUGUAGAAUGUUAGACAAAACAUGAAUAAUCCAUGCUAUGUGAUGAAUAUUUCUCUUGAUGUUGUUGUUUUUAUGAACAUGUGCUUGAUAUGCUCUUCAUGAUUGUUGUGAUUGAAUGAUUUGUUAUGGUUGUGUUUAUGAUGUUAAAAUCCUUGUUAUACAUGUAAUAUGAUGAGUUUUGUUGGAAGAAGAAAUGGAUGGUGUGUUAGAAAUGAAAUAACAGAGGAAAAUGGUGUAUGUGAAGUGAAAUGAGAAAAUGUGAGUGGAUCUAUCGAUUGGCCUCUGUAUAUGAACCCUAAACCCUAAACCCUAAACCCUAAACCCUAAACCCUAAAUGUGAAGUGAAAUGAGAAAAUGUGAGUGGAUCUAUCGAUUAGCAGAAAAAUGGAAUUUUCACAGGACCAAUCGAUUGACACUGCAUAAUCAAUUGCACAAACUUGUUGUAUAUGAACAGUGGAAAUUUUUAACAGGACCAAUCAAUUGACACUCAGGAUCAAUCGAUUGACACUCAGCAAAUUUUGAAAAACAGAAAUGUGACAGGAACCAAUCGGUUGGGCUUCCCCAACCAAUCGAUUGACUCAAGUUAAAAACUUCAAAAUUCAUUUCUUAAGUGUUUUUAAAUGCAUUCUUCCAACCAUUAAUCAAUUAUGAUGCCAUGCUUAAGUUGAAUACAUGUUAAUAGUGAGAAUUACAUGAUGAAUAUAGUAAGUUAACCUGGGAUUGGUAUUAGGUCUUGAGUGAGGUUCAUGACUUAGAUAACAUUGAAUGACGGUAUUCAUUCGUACGACGCUUAUGUGGAGGUCGUGUACGAAUUAUUGCCAUGAUUGAGAAUGAGACGCAUUGUAUGGAACAUGCUAUGUUAUAUUUGUGUAUUAUGGUGAAUGAAGUCACAUGUGAUUGGUGGACUUUGUUAUGGUUCGUGGAACCAAUGAUACGUGGAACCAAUCAUGUAUUCAGAAUAUGUGUUUUCUGUGAUGGUGCAAAUCUCGAUUGGUAUGCUUAGACGUGUAAGCAUUGGGAUGUGGGACCAAUGAUUCGAGCCUCAAUUGGGUUUGAGCUCCAACCAUGGCGGACAUGGGGGAAAGGUGGACACCUAGGUGGGUUGGAGUCCCAUACGGUGAAAGAUACCCUAGGUGGGUUGGAGUCCCAUACGGGUGACGAUCGCUUGAACUGGGGAUUAAGCCUCAUAGAGGACCCGAUAUCCCCCGCGAAAGUCGAAUCAUACGAGCAUGCAUGAAUCGGGCCUGGCUUAGACGUAAGUCCGUUCGGGAAUUGAUGCGUCAUGAUUUGAAUUAUGAUCGUGGUUGAGUUAUGAGGACUCAGAUGCAUGUUGCCAUACAAUUGUGAGUUAGUUUCCCCACCGUUCAAGUCUUCGUUCCCUUGUUGACUUGAGUUGGAUAUGAGUUGAGUAAUGAUUAGAAAACUUUGUAGAGCCGAGUGGACCCAUAAGACAGGGAAUCCACUGAGAUUAUUAUCUCACCCCAUGUUGUUGACUAUUUUUCAGGUGGUUCUGAGCAGGAUAAGGGUAAGGGCAAGAUAGAGUGAUGUCUUGCUUACCUGAGGACUGAUGGCUUUUCUUCCGUUGUGUAGAUAUUUUGAGAUCAUUGUCUAAUGAUCUAGAUCAGUAGUUUUAUUUUGGGCACUCUUAUGUACAUUUAUGCCAUGUUGUGUUAUCUUGGGCAUGUAUUUGUAUAUAUACACGAUGCUGCUAGGUACUUAUGUAUUUCAGUACCAGUUUUACACUAUGUAUAAUAUCUAUUCUAUACAUAUAUUAUAUAUGGGUGUUACAUCUUAAGCCUCCUUUACGAGCGUGCAAGUCAAUGUAUAACCGUUAUAAUGCGAUCUAAACACUUGUUCAAUAAAACAAACUUCAACCAAUCAAACCUAUCUUUUUCUCGCCCAUGCGCGAUCAAAAACUCUUUUUUUUUAUUAUAAAAGAACAUUAUUUUUUCCGUUCUAAGAAGAAUACAAAGUAGUGCUUAAGCUUCCCAUGCGCGAGCAUAUAAACAACGUUUAACUGCUAGAACAUGAUCAAACAUGGUCCUUUCUACUGUAAAACAAACAAAUGCUACGUCUCCCAUGCGCGAGCAUACAAGCCUAAGUUUAACUGUUAGAAUGCGACCUAAACACUUGUUCAUUAAAAUCAAUCAACGAACACUCAUUUGCUACCAAGGACUACAUGGCUUUGAGGUGUCAUCGCACCUGGAGAUACGUAGGAGCAAGACUCACAAUCUUGUCAAGCACCCUAAUAAAAACUUUUUUGUGACCCCUUUUCUUUUCCUUUUUCACUUUUCAUUACUUGAAUAAAACAAAUAACGAUAGCUAACAUUCAAUCGCAAAUCUAACAACAAGGUUUCUGUUGAGUACAAAGGAUGUAAUGGGUGCGAAUAUCUUCCCCUUGCGUAACCGACUCCCGAACCAGAAAGUGGUUGUGAUGACCAUCUUCUUAUUUUAAAAAGGGUUUUAUAAAUAUUUUCCCUUUCCUUCUUUGGAAUAAAUAAAAUUCAGUGGCGACUCUUUUCGAAUUAAUUUUGUACGAGCGCACAAACGCUUCAUGAAGAGUCGUUCUUUUCGAGGUAUGACAACUUCGAACUACAUAUCUCAACAAUCAUUAGCAAGUAUGCAUAAUAAUUCACAUAAUUAUACUUGUAUUUCACAACAUAUAUGCACACAUCAAAUAAACAUCCACAUAGAACUCAAUCAUAUCAAUUCAUCUCAUUAAACACAACCAAAUAACAACCAACAGUUGCUGGAAUCAGAGACACACCGACUAUUCGAGUAAAAAUGGCAACUUUGCAAUGUUACGCUCGCUAAGCCAGAUUCGACUUGCUAAGCGAGAACCAAAAACCAGAAAAUAUCACAUUUUGUCAUAGCUUGCUAAGCAAGGGCUCGCUAAGCGGCACUCAUCCUCACUAAGCGAAAUCGCCCAGAACUGCAAAAAAUUAGAAACGUGAUUCCACCAUUGAUCCCUAUCAAAGCUCUGAUUUUUGACCCCCAAUCUGUCAAUUGGAAUAGAAGAUAACAUAUACAUGUUAUACCAUAAUUAAAAUAUCACAUAUGCACUGGUUAACAUCCAAUUUCAUCAAUUAAUCAUAAGGUUAUGUUCAUAAAACCAAACACACAUAAAUGACAACCACAACAUUCAUAUUCAUAUCGCCACAUGAUGUAUAAUUUUCAGAGUAAUUUAGGGCACGGAUCACAUAUAAAUUACAACAAUUAUCACAUAUUUUUCAUAACAUUUCAUCAAGAACACAUAAACCUCAACAAUGAAGAAAAUAUGAAAAACCUAGAGAAGCGUGAGGAUAGAAUUUUUAUUUGAGGCUAGAAUUUUUGGAGGCUAUAAUUUUUGGUGUUUAAACAAGUAUAUAUUUAUGGUUGCUGUAUGAACACAUAGUGUUGAUCACCAUAGUCAAUGAUAUGAUCUCUAUGUCUAAUCAUAUAAAACUCAAGACACUACUACAAAAUAUAUAUUUCAUAACACACUUUCACCUCAACCACAAUGUCCACCGUGGUAAAAUUUUAAGAAAUAUUAUAUAUAACUUUUCUCGUCACACUAAAAUAAGUAUAUAGUUAUGGUUGUUGUAUGAACACAAAGUGUUAAUCGCCAUCGUCAAUGAUAUGAUCUUGAUGUCUAAUCAUAUGAGGCUCAAGAGACUACUAUAAAAUAUACAUUUUGUAACACACUUUCACAUUGGUCAUAGUGUUCACCAUGAUAAAAUUUUAAAAAAUAUUAUAUAUAACUUUUCUCCUCAUACCAAAAUAUAUAGUUAUGAUUGUUGUAUAUAAUGUUGAUCACCAUAGUCAAUUAUAUGAUCUAUAUGUUUAAUCAUGUGAGGCUCAAGACACCACUACAAAAUAUACAUUUUGUAACACACUUUCAUCUCGGCUAUAGUGCCCACUGUGGCAAAAUAUAUUCAUUUAAAUGCUUUUCUUUCAUUUUUAUUUUUAAGCCACUUUUUACUAUAAUCAAAGUUUUCAACUGUAGGGAAAAGUCCCAGCCACAUCACUUUUGUUUUUAUUGAUUUUUAAGCUAAUUUCAACCAUGAUUUUCAACCAUGGUGAAAAGUGACGCUUGAUCAUGGGUUCGAAUCCUAGCACCAGCUAUUUUGUUUUUUUAUUUACUUUUAAACCACUUUCAACUAUGAUUGAAUUUUCCAACCGUGGUGAAAAAUGACGCUGAUGACACUCUAUCAUUACAUAAUAUUGCGAGUAAAAAUUGGACAAAUCGAUGUAAUUGUGAGCAAAAGCCAUGCCUAAAUAUCAAGAAAAGAGCAAGAACUACCAAAAGGAAGAAAAUAUGGACUUAGUGGAAAUUUGAAGAAAAUAUAGGUCUUUUGAGAUAAACCUAAUUAUGCUAUGUUGGAUCAUAUUAUUGUUUGAUAUUAUUUGAAUUCUUUUAUGUUAUUAUCUUAUUUAAUUGUUCUUGUGUUCAUUGUAAUACCAUAAACCCCAUCACAUAAUUUAUAACACAUACAGAAUAAAAGAAUAUUAAUGGAUGUCACAUUUCUCAGCAUAACACUUCAAAUUGUGUCAUAAUUAGAAAAUCAACUUCAAUUCUCAUAAAAUAGUUAAUUCAACAUAUCGCAAAAAACCAAAAUAAAAUAUUCCACAACAAAAUUACAUUAUUAUAGCGACAUGCGGAAAACUAAAUAGCUGAUAAGAUACAACAAUAAAAUAGAAAAUAAAUGUUGUGAAGAGGCUAACUAUGUCAUUCUCCAAAACAGCUACUACUCACUAGUCUCUACAUGAGAAUCUACAUAACCGAUUUAAAGAAUAACACGAAAAACAAACAGAAAAGAGGUGAGAAAUACAUCCCAUAUAGUAUGGGUGUAUAAACGACAAGUAUAGUAUAUUAUCACAGUUAAAUUAAUCAUACAAAUCCAACAACAAAAUAAUUAAUCAACAAAUGCAAUUACUUAUGCAACGUAUUCAUGUCAUCUACUUCCAUGCAUGCGAUACCAAAAUUCGGAUAUUCAAUCAUGUGUAACUGAAUGAUCCAACUCGUUACUAGACCGAAGUUCUAACUCGUCAUUGGACCGAAGUCCUAACUCGUCACUGGACCUAAGUUCUACCUAUCUCCGAUAUACAUGAUACAUGAAUACAAUAAACAAUAUAAAUCGUCAUCCACAAUCCUCCAACUCCAAUCCUUGUCAGUGAACAUAAGUCCUACACAUCAUUGGUUCCUUCAAACCUAAACACAUCAUCAUCAAUUAUUUCUGAUGUAAGGCCACGUCACUGGUUCUCCCGAACCUAAACAUCUCAACACCGGUUCUAUCGAACCUAAACAUAAAUUACAUCAACACCAGACUUGUGUCCUAACUCUAACAACUUAACUUGUAUACAGAUUAUCAAGACAUUGGACAAAAGUCCAAAACAUAUCCACAUCUUAUUUAACAUAAAUAUAUCAUCAAACAUUGUACUUGUGUCCUAAAAUAUUAACAACUUAAUUCACAUAGUAUCUUAUCAAAACAACCCCAAAAUCAUUUUUCCAGCUAGUCAUAGAUCAUAUUCGAGUAAUAACUUAAAAUAUCAAAUGGAGUCGGAAUCAAGCAAAUGAAUAUGUUUUGUAAAUCUUAGAGAUUCUAUUUUAAGACUAUGAUUUUUAUUUUAGGACUUAAGAUUUCAAUCAGUAUAGUUUAUUCAAACAAUAGGAACUGGUGCAGGCACCAAGCAGAAUGUUUCUUCGAACUCGUAACUAGUAUUUCUUCUACUGAACUUGGUGGAAUUAUAUUCCUAUUAAGUCUAAUAUAUGAUAUAGUAACUAGUAUUUCUUUUAGGACUUAAGAUUUCAAUCAGUAUAGUUUAGUUAAAGGACUUUUGUAGAGUGAGUUAUGUUCAAAUUACUAAUAACAUGUUAAAUAGUUGUGUUGCAGAAUUUUCAAAACAUUAAUUAAACUUGCAACUCGGUUUUCUAUCCUUUUCCAUAAUGGAAUCAAUCCAUAUCAAAGUCUAUAUUGUGAUAAAUCUUGUCUAGUUUCUAACGGUCUCAGUUUCAUUCUUAAAAGAUCUAGGUAAUUGUAGUUAUAAGCAAAUGACUAACAGGGUAUACAAACCGUAAGUUGCAUAAAUUAAUCUACAUAUGGUAACGACAUUACUUAAACACCUAUUAUCAUGGUUAAUCAUCCUAUACUAUUGGUUUGACAUAUAAUUUCUCAAAUUAAGUACACUUAUGUUUAAUUUCAACACUAAACUCAUGUCAUGAACAUAAUUACUACUUUCCACAAUGUUAUUCAUAUAAAUAUCGUAAGAAUAUAUCAUAUUUACAACAUCAUUCACACGUAUAAACAUUAAGAGAAAUUACCAUAAUCAGGACAUUGUAUACACAUUUAGACCUCGUAAAUUCAUUAGUCUAAGAAAGAUAUAUGUCUUAGCACUACAACGCCAUUGACUGCACCUCAAACGGACUUACGAAACUCAAGUUAUACGUGAAACAAGAUGAUCAAUAAUCUCUUGUGUUUUUUGACAUUUAUUUAUCCUAUUUCGACUUAUUCAACUUAUUUUGACUUAUUCGACUUAUUUCUCAAUGUAACAGUUCCAAAAUUUUAUAUUUUCAAUCUCAUGGAGGUUUAAACUCAUAACUCAACAUUUGCUCAUCAACAAUAACUUUUGCUCAUCACAACUCAAAACUCAUCAAUCACGAAAUCUCAAAAGAUAUCAUAUCAAUUAAUAACAUUCAUAUCAACAGAGAACUAUAUGACAUCAAUCAUAACAUUUUAACACAUAUCAUAUAAUUUUAGCAGUUAACAAAACACAAAGAUUAGGACUAAUAAAAACAACCUAAAGAGGCUUUGCACAAACUCAUUCAAGGUUCAUGACGCGGCUGAAAAAAUACAGAGUCACCAUCAUCCUUUAUUUGUUCCUAUCGAACAAGUAAAUAUUGAUAAACCUAUAGUUAAGGGAAGAGACUAAGGCUCGAGAAUCAAUUAAGCAAGGGGAAGGUGUUAGGCACCCCUCAUUUCUAUUAUACUCAAUGGGACCCUCCUCUAAUUCUAGGGUUAGUAUGUGUUUCUAAGGGAAUGUUAUGCUUAUGCUAUUUAUUAUUUACUCAAGAUAUUUAUUUACCAAGGAAAUAUUAUUAUUUAGAGAAAAUAGUUUGAUUAAUACAAAAGGACAAAAAAAGAUUUUCAUUAUUGUACUCUCUAGAGUGCUACGACUCUAUGCCUACGUACCUCCAUGUUAGGUGAAGGAUCAUAGCACCAUAAUUCUUCUAAAAAUGUUUGUUUGUUUGUUUGUUUAAUUUUAAAUCUUAAAGAGAUUCUCAAUGCAUUGGGGCGGAGAAAGUAUUUGAUUUGAAAAUGCCUGAAUGCACAAGGAUUGAGGACUUAAAAUUAAAAUGUGUGGAAUUUGAUUUUAAUUAAUUGAUUAAUAGCAAAAUAUUAUAAUUAAUUAAAUUAAAAAUUAAAUUAAAUGAUAUAUAUAUAUAUAAUAUAUAUAUAUAUAAAAUCUAUUUGAGAUAUUAAACAUAAUUAAUUAACAAAGGGAAAACUACAUUAUCCUGAUUAAACCCUUGAUUAAACCCUAAUUAACCCAAAUGAUGUCUAAAUGAUAACCCUAAGAAUAAUCAUGGAAUUAUCCUAAUAUACCCUAUAAAACAUAUUUUUUGUAUUUUUUAUUUAUUGAUUAAGAAUAAAAUGAACCCUUAAAUUAGUAAAAUUAAUUAUUUACUAGUUUAAUCAAUUAUUGAUAAAUGAGUAAAAAUAAUUUGAUGAUAUUAUUUAUUAAAUGAAAAUAAAUUAAAUAAAAGUAAGUAGAAAAAAAAGGGGUGUAUUUCAUAUUGAAAUAGCAACGAGCUUUUGAGAAAGGGGUGUGAAAAUCAACUAGGCAUGGGCCCAUUUUUGGUGAGCCUGCGUAAAGGGGGAAGUCCACCGAGGGAGAGAGUCACUGGUUGACUCUCUCUGGACCUCUUGAUCAUGAUCUGAUGGAUCAUGUGGCAUGCAAUCAAAACCAUAGAUCUGGAUUACUGCUCAAAGUAUUGAGAAGCAAAGUUAACUCAGGAGCACGAUUCACACGAGCGCACGGUGAUCCAGGUGAGCCAACGACAUGAUUGAUUGAAGACCAUCCACGUGAGCAUGACAUGGACUCAACUGGGGGAGGUAUUUACAGGAACCUCCUUCAACAAACUUUAUUUCUUCCAUUCUCUUCUCUCUCUACUCUUUAUCUCUCUCUGAUCUCUCUCUAAACUUCUCUACCUCUCUUCCACUCUGGCCACCCUCAAAUCCCUAUGCCACCCUCCAAACCACCGUAACCCCCAGUUUUCCGGUUGAGCUUCAACCGAAACCCGUGCACCUUUAACUAGUAUUCAUCCAAAUAAUGAAAACCAACCCAGAUAAUGUCCGUCACCGUCCCAAACCCCGUCUAGCCCAAAUCUCCGUUUGAACUUCAACCGAGAUCUUUAAACCUUUAAAAUCUCAACCCAAAAACCCUUCAAACUUUCAACCCUAACCUGGGUUCAACAUGAACCCUAACCAUAAACACUUCCAACCUUCAACCCUAACCUGGGUUCAAUAUGAACCCUACCCAGAAACCCUUAAACAAUGAACCUUAUGGUUCAUCGGAUGAACCCUAAGAACCAUAACCCUAACUUAAACCUAGAAAUUCUCUAAACCUACCCAGAUCGACCCCAAUCCUUGGUUGAUCCAAAGAUCAACCUACUCUGAACCCCAAUCAAACCUUCAUACUACAAAAUCACACCACAAAAUAUUGAACCCCUAAGCCAACUUCUAAACACACAAUCACAUAUUCAUUGAGUCAGAAGAAAAAAACUUUACCUUUCCUGUUGUGACCUAAUUAAGCUGAGUCCCCUUCCUUGCUUUGAUUUUGGUUUAUGAUUCUUAAUCUUGAUCUCCUUGAUCUCCUUGAUCUCCCUCUAAUCCCAUUCUCUUUCUUUUGUAGGUGCGAGGUCCAAAUGGAACUCUACUAUGAGGUUAAACUCGGAUAACUUAGGAUUUCAAUGUAAAACCCUAAUUAUCAAGAUUCAAAGGAGCUCUAGUUGGGGUUUGGAUUCGUAGAGACAAUAUCUUUAGGGUUUUUAAUUCUCUUUUUUUCCAUUCUCAAUUUUGUUUUAGUCGUAGGUUUAUAUAGGUUAGAAUUAGGUCUUAGUGAUUAAUCUGAUUGAUUAUUUUAGGAAGUUUUGUAACCUAAUUGAUAGUUUGAUUAGAUUUUAGGAAUUAUGGUUUUUAGGAGUUGAUGUAUUUUGUCCAAAUUGUUGGUAAUUGUAUUAUUUUGAUGUACUUGUGAAUGAAUUUGGAAAUAUUUGAUUGAAAUUGUUAUUCAAUGUGAUUGAUCCAUUUGAUUCCAUUGAUUGCGCAAUCUAGAGUUUCUGAGAAUUGGGGCAUUUGGGAUGAAUCCAGGUCAUGGACAUGACCCAGUGAAGUGGUGGACUUGGGUCUUCCUGACCCAAUUGACUUGGAUUAUAGGCCUGGACUUGGUCCACAUCUUGACCGGCCUUAACAACUAAAAAACACAUCAUCGCCAUUUUAAUAAAAUAAGUAUUAAUAAAACAAUAAUCCAAUUAAAUUAAAUUUUACUAUAAACUUAAUCCAACCUAGUCUAAAUAACUUAGUUAAUCUAAUAUAAAUAAUUUAACUAUGAAUUAAUCAAAAAUGAAUUUAAUUAAUAACCUUAAUCGAUAUUUUAUUAAUUUAAUCAAAAUCCAACUAAUUUAAUUAACCAAUAUAAAUUAAUCAACAUCUAACAUAUCAAUAACAUUAAUUUACUAUUUAAUAAUAGUGAAGACCCCUAACUCUAAUCUCAUAAUAAGAUAAUAGAGAAAUAAGAUAAAUUGUCAUGUUAAACUGAACCCUAGAAUGCCUUAAAAUAGCAGUUGACCACAAUGGUAUUAGAGAUACCCUUUAAAAAGUUAAAAUGGUUCCCCUUUGAUUUUUAGGUCAUUGGGGUUGACCAUAUGACUUAUAUGGGCUCUGUGUAAGUUAGUGAUCUGAAUCCUAAGUUAGUAAAAAAAAAAUAGAGGAUGGUCAAAAUUUCGGGUACAACAGUUCAAUUUAUUAAUCAAUAUGGGAAACAUAAAAGAGAAAAAAAGAAAGAGGAUAAAGACUCCCCACUACCCCUUGUGCUUAACAUCCAUAUAAUGAAUAACUCUCCCCCUACCUUGAAUUUGCAUGAAAGUUUUGAACUUUGGCUAUGUAGGUUCUAUUCUUCACUUGAUCUCUUAGGGUUGUCUUUACUCUCUUCUUACUCCUUAUUUUUCAAAACUUCUACGUACUUUUUAUUUUCUAUUCUCCCUUCUACUUAAAUAUAAAACCCUAUUUAUUUUUAUUUCACUAAUCACACUAAUUCUCUUAAUUCCUCAUAAUUUUGCUCACUUACUUGUUUUUAUUUAAAAUUCUAUUUAACUACUCACUCACAAUUUUCUCAAUUUUUACCAAUUAAUUUAUUAAAUUAAUUAAAUAAAUUCUACCAAUUCUCCUUAAUUUUUAUUUAAAUUCUAAUUUAAUACUAAAACCAAUAUUCUCUACUACAUAAUUUAAUUAUUAAAAAUAUAAGUAAAUUCCACCCAACAACUCAUUAACCCAAAUAAUAUUAAUUAACCACUCAAAGAUAUUCUAAAAUUAAAUAAAAAUUAUUAGUAAAAUAUUAUAAUAAAAAUCAGGGUGUUACAUUCAUUGUUUUUUGCGUGUUGACGAGUGCGCGAAUUAAUAUAAGAUGAGUAUGGAUUAUUGAUUGUAUGUCUACCGAUCUAAAUUAGGACAAUUAUUCAAAUUAGUAAUUAACUGAGAAUAGGUAAUUAUAAGUUGUGGCUAGUGAAUUGAGGAACUUCGUAACUCUUGAUUUUACUCUGAAUUGACCUAAUGAAUUAGGGAAUUAUUAUGUAAAUUAGUGGAUUGUACACUAAAGAAUUGAGUACAGUGGCCGUGUUAAUUCGUUGUGAGAUUAUAACCUAAUUGUAAUUUAACUAGUACACAGCUCAUCAACAAGUAUAAUCAGGGAAUUUAAAAUAAAGAUCUAAUCGCUUUUCACUAUCGAACAUUAAUCCGUUAGUUUUCUCGUUCUUCUUUUCGUAUUAAAACACAAUAGCUUUUUGUCACUGUUGUCGGGGAUUGUUGAUAAUUUCAACAAGGAAAUAAUUGUGUGGUGUUUUUUAAUUUUAUAGAGUAUUUAGUUUUAAUUUUAUCUUAUACUCCUAUUUUGUUCUUAUUUAGUUUUUAUCUAGUCCAAUGCUACUGGAAUAUUUUUCUUCUGAUUGUGUAUGUGAUAUAAAUGAAAACAUGUAUAAUGUAGUUGACUUUCAACUUCCUAUAUUAGCACAACUUGAAGCAUUAUCAAAGAAAUUGGUUGUCUCAACUCUAAUUCCAUUAAAUGUUAAUCUGGUCAGGGUCAUACGAUGUGAUUUUUAUGGUGAAGUUCACGCCAAUGGCUAUUGUAUACUAUACAUUGAAGAAACACAUUAUACAGGAGACUAUCAAGAGCCAAACCAUUACUUCAACACAUAUAACACACGAAGGGUGAUCACUCAAGUCUUAAAUGGAGUAACAAUCAAAUUCAAAAUUUCAACCAAGACGCUCCUCAAGAUCUACUGCCAAGGAAGUCGUCUUUUCUAUAAGAGAAUAUGAACUGAUUAUGUUGAUUCAAAGAAACUUAGAAGUAAUACACAAAAAAGUUGAAGCAUUCAACAGGAAUAUUGAUGCAUCCCACAAGGACAUCGAAGCAUUAAACAAGAACAUUGAAGCCUCUAUGAAUAAUAUUAAAAAUCAAAUUGGGUAGUUAUCUAAAUAGGUGGAAGCUCGAUCAAAUGGAGGUUUUAGUGGGAAUACCUUGGAUAGACCUAGGGAUGAAGAAGUUGAUAGAGAAGUCAAAGAUGAAGGGGAAGUAAUCGAUGAAGGAGAAGUUGAAAACAAACAAGAAGAAGAAAAAUGCAUGCCAUUAAAUGAAAAAACUGAAUUACAAAUAGAAACAUCUGAAGUGAAAAUUAGAUAUGGGAAAAGGGAAAUAAUGCUAAGGGAAGAUGAUCUAGUUUUGGAAUAAAUUUUUUUUCUAGAUGCAAAUAUCCAAGAAGAAAAUCUUCAACAAAAUAUGUCCCAAUUUUUUUUUAUCAACAAGGAAGAUGGAAGAUAAGAAAUAGAUAAAGUAUUAUAUUACCUUUAUCCCUUGUUCGCUACUAUCAAGUUGAAGAAGAUAUGGAACCAACAUCAUCAAUACCUAAAGUUCAUGGGAGUCCUACCAAAUAAAAGGAAGAAGAAGGAUGACGCAUUUUUUGUGUCAUAUAUGUCGCCCUAACAGAGAAGCAAAUCUUCAACAAAAUAUGUCCCAAAAAUUUGUUUUAUCAACAAGGAAGAUGGAAGAUAAGAAAUAGAUAAAGUAUUAGAUUCCAUUUAUCCCUUGUUCGCUACUAUCAAGUUGAAAAAUAUAUGGAAGCAACAUCAUCAAUACCUAAAGUUCUUGGGAGUCCUUCCAAACAAAAGGAAGAAUAAGGAUGACGGGUGAAACUUACGUAUGAUUCAUAUGAUCAUCCGAUCAUGUUAUGGAAAUCGGGCAGGACUCUGACAAUCCUCCGGUCGUUGUGAUUCCUAUGAUCGACCAAUCAUUCAGAAUCUUGGUAGGACUCUGACGAUCAUCCGAUUGUUAUAUAUUGGAACCUUGUGUAUAUGAGAGAUGGAACUUAUCCAUGUGCGAGAUAGGUUAUUAAGAUGGGGAUAUGAGAGAUGAACACCUGCUCAUUGGUUGAUAGCGAUCAUUUGGGAUGACCAAUUUGCUGGAUAUGUUGAACUUGCUGAGGAGAUCCUUUGCUUAAAAUAAUUUGUUAGAGGGUCACUUACUGGGGAAGGCCAACAAGUAUUUUUGACCUAAGGAAUUGUAUUGGUAUAGUUAGGGAUUGGACUUCUAGGAGCGGUAUAAAUCCUAUGUUAUGUUAUGCAUGUUCGUGUGGAUGCAUGUUUUAAUUGAUGUAUGGUCUUAUGCAUGAUUCAUUUUGGGUCAUCUCCUCUUUUAUGAUGUGUAUGAGGAAUAUGUGAAAUUAUGGGAAUCAUGAGAAUCGAGGUUUCUGUAACAUCCCGACUCUUCAACCCCUUGAGAUUUCGAUAUGUCCAUGGCCCAAGCCAUGAUAGUCUUGUUUCCUAAGAACGUGUUAAAAGGAAGAAACUUUUGUGUUGAUUAUAUCGUGACUGCUAAUUUAGGGACCUGUAUUUUGAGAUGUAAUGUUGGAAAGCUUAUGAUCAUUUUGACGUUUCAAAGUCAAAGUAAAAGACGUUUUCAAAAAGCUUUUUAUUAUGCUUGAUGUGACAAAUCAUUGAUAUUUUGUAAUAAAGCAAAAAAAAUUGAAAACAAAGAAAUAAAGCUUGAAAAAGAACGUUGUUUAUUGAGAAGUUUGACCCGUAAAUGGACAAUAGUACAUGAAGAAGUAAUUCUCGUAAGGGGAGAUUAUCGGAAAGUUGGAAGAUGUAAAAAUGGCAAUGAAAACAGAUUAGUUUAUAUUCCUACUGAAUUCAACACAUGCUAUUAUCCUUAUGUCUUCAAGGUCACAAUACUUUGUUUCUAAAGGGGAUGGUUGAAUUGAUUGUUCCUAUAUGAAUUCCUAUUGUAAUAAGGCUCAAGUAUUGCAGUCAUAUGCCUUUUGGAUAUCCCUAAUUUUUGCCUGGACUUAUCUUUUGAGUCUUAGUCCACCGAGAUGAUAUACCCCUUCUUUUCCUAAGUCGCCCUUUUGGGGUUUUCGACUUAUCGGGUUUUAUUUUUUUUUAUACAAGUCCCUAAUUUUUUCCUUGAUUGCUCUUUCAAGUUUUCAAUCCACCAGGACACCUUAAUUUUUUCCUAAGUCGUCCUCUCAGGUUUUCAACUUAGCGGGCUUUUAUCCUCUUUUUCUAGGCAUAGUAUUUCUUGGUUGCGUCUGAGUUCACAGGUCGUGGUAACUCUGCUCCAUCCAUGGUUUUGAGAAUUAAAGCUCCGCCAGAGAAGGCAUUUUUCACGACAUAAGGCCAUUCAUAAUUUGGGGUCCAUUUACCGUGAGGAUCUUUAUGGAUGAGUAAGAUUUUCCCGAGCACUAGGUCGCCUUCUUCGAACAAAUGAGGACGAAAUUUCUUGACAAAUGCUUUCUUCAGCCUUCGCUGAUAUAACUGUUUGUGAUAUAUUGCAGAUAUGCGCUUAUCUUCUGUGAGGUUUAUUUGAUCGAACCUUGUUUGUACCUAUUCCAUAUCUUCCAAUUUAGUCUCUGUCAGGACUCUCAAAGAGGGGAUCUCGAGUUUGAUAGGGAGUACCGCUUCGGUGCCAUAUACUAGAGAGAAAGGGGUGGCUCUUAUUGAAGUGUGAACCAAAGUUCUAUAGCCAUGUAGUGAUAAAGGUAGCAUCUCAUGCCAAUCUUUGUAGGUUUUUACCAUCAUCUAGGUUAAGUUUUUGAUAUUCUUGUUAGAUGCCUCUACUGUGUCGUUCAUCUUUGGUCUGUAGGGUGACGAGUUAUGGUGUUCAAUUUUAAAACCUUUGUAUAACUCGUCCAUUACCUUUUUAUUUAGAUUCAACCCAUUAUCAGUGAUAAUCAUAUUAGGAACGUCGUAGUGACAAAUAAUCUCUUUCUUGAUGAACUGUGCGAUCACUUGUCUUGUCAUGUUGGUGUAAGAAGCAACUUUUACCCACAUGGCGUGCACAUCACCAUUGAGGAAAAAUUGGGAUGCCAAUAUUCUAAGUGUUUUGUUAUCUUGGCUUGAAGCAUUUGCAUGGUACUCUUAUUUCUGUAGGAACAAUUUAAAGUCUUAAAACUAAGGUUUAUUAUCCACUUCUGUUUCUACUGUUACGCAAUAUGCUGGCUCAUCCAAACGUUGAAUCCUUAUAGAAGGUGCUUCAUUGUACCACUUGACUUUGAACAUGGAUGAUAGAAUAGUUAGGGCUUUUGCUAGAUGAUUCUCUUCCCAAGGGAUGUAGUGGAAAUUAAUCUUAUCAAAGUAAGCGACCCUCUUUCGGACGUGGUCUCAAUACUUGAUUAACUUAGCAUUAUGUGUUUCCUAUUCCCCCUUGAUUUAAUCGAUAACGAGAGAAAAGUCUCCAUAUACUUUAAUAUCUUGAUCCUUAAAUUGAUGGUUUUGUUGAGUCGUAGGAUGCAGGCCUCAUACUAUGCCUUGUUAUUAGUGCAGGUGAAACACAAACUAGUUGUAAAUGGAAUGUGAUAACAUGUUGGAGAAGUUAUGAUAGCCCCGAUCCCAUGUCCUUCUGCGUUUAAGGCAUCGUUAAAUAUAAGUUUCCAUUGUGAUCCUGGUUCAGGUUCUUCGUCAGGGCCUAGGGUCUCACAAUCCCUUAUUACCAUAACAUCUUCGUCGGGGAAGUCAAACUGUAUAGGUUGAUAAUAUUCCAUUGGAUGGUGAGCGAGAUAAUCUGCUAACACACUUCCUUUGAUAGCUUUUUGUAUGGCAUAUUGGAUGUCAUACUUAGUCAAUAAUAUCUGCCAUCGGGCUAUUCUUCCAGUUACUGUUGGCUUUUCAAAAACAUAUUUAAUAGGAUUUAUCCUGGAUAUUAGUAAGGUAGUAUGACACACCAUGUAUUUCCUUAGACGUCGAGCAACCCAGACUAGAGCGUGUAACACCUCAAAAUUUGCCCUCCUCUUCUUGGGACUAGUUUGGCAUUGCAUUUCAUGUUUUAGGACAUUAGGCAUUUGCAUAUUGCAUAUCAUGUGAUAAUAAGAAGGUCAUCCUCCUAAGUCUUUCUCAGAAGAUAGAGAGGUUAAGAGAUUCAAGCCUGAGGGUCUUAUUGAAUUGGAGAUCAAUCAUCUGAGGGUAUAUGCUUCAAUUAGGGUUCUGAUUCUUCAAUGGUUUUGAUCAUUAUCUUAUUGGCAAGGAUAUAUUACCAUCAUCAUGGUUAUGUCAUCAUCAAGGGCUCCAUUGUGCAUGCUCCAGUUCCUUAGGAUUAGGGUUUUGACCUCUGGUCAACCCUAAUCAGUUGCAUUCUUUCAACCAGGGAUUUUCAAGGAGAUGAGGUAUUCUAUUGAGAUGGGGAUCACAUGAUCAUUCUAUUGGGCUUAUAUGAGCCAAGGUUCAUUUUGAAGCAAAUGGCCAAGUUUAGAGGCCUCAAGUCCACAGUGCAUUUUCAAGUUCGUUGGGGCCCAUAAAGUCAACAGAAGUCAACUAAGGGCUAGGAGGUGGAUAGAUGGUUUGAGACACUUCUUCAUGUCCAAGAGGUUAUUUGUCAUUGCAAAUACUUAUCUUGAAGAAUUUGAGGUCAGAUCAAAAGUUUCCAAAUGGAAAGUGACUGUAAUUAAAAGUUUCAAAAAUGGAAAGAUUUUGGUUCAAAUUCAUUGAUUUUACAUCAUCAAAGAAGCUUCAAUGAAUUUUUUGUCCAACAUGAAAAGUUUAAUAUUUUCUUCUCUCCAUUUCCAAAAAGUCCAAGAUCAUGAAUUUAUGAUGAAUGGUUGAUGAGAUACUGAGCAAAUGAUCACCAUAGUGUGCAUGAGACUUCAAAGUGGCAUAACUUUUGACUCAAAAUUCCAAAUGAAGCCACUCUUUUUGCAAAUUUCUUGUCUUGACCUAUGCUUUCCAAAUAUACCAUUGCAUUGCAUGAAAAAAGGUUCACAUGGCCAUGUGUUAAUUUAAGUGCAUUUUGGAGGGAAAUUGGGGAAUUUAAAUUUGGUGCAAGCUACAAGCAUAAUUCCAAUCCAAUUGUGUUCAUUAGGUGAUUUUGAAUGAAUGUGAGGCAUUGCAUGCUACUGUUCACGUCCAAUUUAAGCCAUGCACCUUCAUUUUUCAAUUUUUGCCAAACACCUUUAAUCUCCUUAAUUAUGAUUAGUACAUGUCUAAUUGUGAUUACAAUGUAAUUAGCACAUGGUAUAUAAGAUAAAUCAUAACAAAAUUGUUCAUAAUCACAAGUUCUAGAUCUAGAAAAUUUUUUCCCUCCAAAUUUCUCUCUCAUUGGAAUUCAAAUUUUCUCCACACAACCACACAUUUUCUUGAUAGAUCCAUCAUCCUCAUGAAGUUUGGAGCAUGAAUCAGUCAUUUUUUGUGGAAAUUGGUGAAGAAUUGUGCAUACUCCAUACAUGAACAUGAAGAUGGAAGUUGAAGAUUAAGCUAGAUCCAGGACAGUUCAAGCAUCAAUUCACGCACAAGACUUCAUAACCAGAGUAGAGGAGCAAAUUUGAACACUUGCAAGGCCUUGGAUCUACUGUUUCCAUUGAUUGUUCUUCAAAGAGGUUAGAAUUCGAACCUCAUGAUUCUCCACUUUAUGCACAUGAUUAGAUAGGCCUUUCCAUGUUGGUGAUUUUGAUCUAAAUUUCAUUGAAUUUGGUUGAGAUUUGAAGAAGUUAUGAUGAAUUGAAUUUUGAUGUUCAUAGAUGUUUUGCUUCGAUUCUUGAAAUAUAUGUGGAUUUAGGCUUAGUUGAUGGUGGAUCAUUGGUUGAGAUUUGAAGAAGUUAUGAUGAAUUGAAUUUUGAUGUUCAUAGAUGUUUUGCUUCGAUUCUUGAAAUAUAUGUGGAUUUAGGCUUAGUUGAUGGUGGAUCCGUGAUGUACACAACGAGACAUUUCCAUUGGUAUAAUUUUUAGCAAAAUCUGCAAAAAAAAUCAGGCGUGCACUGUAGCACCACCGUCUCAAGGUAGGAGACGGUGGAAACCACCGCCCUGUACUGUAGCGCCACCGUCUGGUGCGCCUAGGGCUUUAGAGACCAAAACGGCGCCGUUUUGCCAUGCUAGCGCGUACCUGCUUCGAUUCCCCGCUCCAGUGCUUUUCCAUAUUUUCAUUUCAAUUUCCAUGCCUUGGCCAAAAAUGACCAUGUUUUGAUCAGCGCUCCCUCCUCACUUCGAUCCUCUGCUCUUGCAUUUUUUCAAAUUGCUCACACUAUUUCUCAUUUCCCUCCAUUUCAUCAUGUGAUUUCUUCAUUAUUCAUAAUAUUUUCAUGCAACUUGUAAAAUUCAUAACAAAUUGAAAAUUAAUCCAAAUUGAAUGCCAUUUUUUUUCACAUGAUCAUUGAGAUAAUUUUCAUGCAACUUGUAAAAUUCAUAACAAAUUGAAAAUUAAUCCAAAUUGAAUGCCAUUUUUUUUCACAUGAUCAUUGAGAUGUCUAUUAUUUUGUGGUUUGGAUUUUUGGAUUUUAUCAUUUCUAGAAUUUUAAAUGUGACUGAUUCUUUGGACAUGUAUGCAAAUGUGACAUGCUUCAUUCAUUCUAUUGUGAAAUGCUCAUACAUUGGCCAAUUGAUUUGAAACUUGGUAUGCUGAUUCCCAACAUGUUGCAUGAUUUUUGAGGCUUGGUUGUGUAUUUUUAGCAUUUUUCAUCUCUGUUUUAGACACAUGAUUGCAUGGUGUGACAAUGUGUGUCACACAAUUUGAUGUCAUACUUGUGCAUUUUCAUAUCCAUGUCAAUUGAGCUUUUAUGUUUACAAUUUUUUGCAUGAUGCUUGUGUUUGACAUGUUGUAUGCACAUAAAAAUUUCCAGGAUUGUUUGAUUCAUUUCUGUUUUAAUAUGGAAUUUUCAUUCUUGAUGACCAAUUGUGUGCUUCAUAAUUGCCUUUUCCAUAUCUUGCUCAUGUAAUGACUUUGAUUAAUGCUUUUGACUUGGUCCUUUUUAGGACAUGUUCUUACUUGAAUAAAGAUGCUUCAUGUUAAAUAUUGGUUGCUGUUUUGACUUUUUACUUUGCCUUUGACCCUAGCCUUGGUGCUAGUGGUUUGUACUCAUCUUUUGAGUUUUGCAUUUCAGGUUCAAGCUUAUAGUCCUAAUGGUUGAUCGCAAUUCAGGCUUGAGAUGCAAUUUUGCUUUAUCACUAAUUUAUUAUGUUGUAGGUUCCUUGGUGAUGAAAUUGCACUUGGUUGAUUGACUUGCAUUGUACUUAUUGGUUGUAACUGUUGACUGUCUGUUAGAUUUGUCUGAAUGUGAAUAUUGACUUGUUUGAUUUUCUUACAGGUAUUUAGUAGCUCUAACUCAUUGCUUGAGUUCUUUGGCUUGUGGUUGGCAUACCACUAGGUAAAUCAUCCUCUAACUUCAUGUAGUCUGGAAGCCCUGUCGUUUCUAUUUGGCAGCAUUUGGCUGAAGUCCUCUUAAGAGGCAAUGACUGUGUUUGUUUACUUUUGUGCCAUGUGCUCAAGUCCUCCUAAGUGAAGAGGCAAUUGGCAGAUAGAAGGGACUAGAGUCAGUCCCUGCUAUUCAGUUGAGUCUUUCAUUAUGCUCGCACUAACGUGCUGAUGCAUUUUGAAUAAAACCCAAGAUCUUGUAAUAUAGAGUCAGUCAAGUGAGUAGGUCCCACAUUCUGGACCCACGUUUUCAUUGAUUCCAAGCUCACCAGGCCCGGGUUAAGAUAUGAGGUCAACUCAUUACUUUAUCUGCUCACCUGACGGUCAAUGUCAGUGGUUAAGAGCCUCAGACACCUUUCAGUGUUGGCUUGUUUGUCGAGGUUGAUAUGACCUUGACUAAAGCCCAGCCUUGUAUGAGCGCUAUUUGCAUAUAGCGUGUGAUGAUUGCUUUUGAUGUUUAUUGCUUUUGCUUCUCAUCUCCUUUCUGUAGGAGUCGUAUGAUCAACUUUCGAGGAAGUUGAACGUACGUAGAGAUAGACUUGAGUUGACUCACUGCCUGUGUGAGUCAAACUCUUGUUAGAGACCUCAACCUAGGGUUAUAAUUUACAUGAUGACUAUUAGGCUCGAGUCAGUCUCCCUUUUAGUCCGUUAUUCCCUUGGUCUCUGAUUAGGAGAAAGUUUCUCCCCUGUUAAGGGGAACUACGUCGCCCUGAUCCUCAUACCAGAUGAGGUACGUAGGCAGGAGAUCGUGCGAGAUCUCUCCGGGCGCCUUUUUUCUUUUUUGCGUGUGUUUUGCUUGACAGCUACUAGGUACGAGUACCAGACUCCCUAUUAGGCUGUGUGUUCCACCCUUUUCUUUUUCAACCCUUCUCCUUUGUGUGUGUGUUUGGAGUCUGAUGUAAGCUCAGCGAUUGACAUUCGGUUUCCCGUUUGUGUUGGUGUGUUUGGAGUCUGAUGUAAGCCCAACGAUUGGCAUUCGGUUUCCUGUUUGUGUUGGUUUGUUUGGAGUCUGAUGUAAGCCCAGCGAUUGGCAUUCGGUUUCCCGUUUGUGUUGGUUUGUUUGGAGUCUGAUGUAAGGAAUUCGGUUUCUUGUUUGUGUUUGUGUGUUCGGAGUCGGACGUAAGACCAGCCAUUGGCAGUCUGUUUCCAUUUGCGAGUUUCUUUUGACGUCUCAGCAUCUUUGCGUGUGUUUUGUUUCGGCGUGCGUUAGCCAAACUACGACAGCUCUGAUUCUCAUUCCAGAUGAGAUACGUAGGCAUAGGAUGCGAUAUCCUAGCGAGCACGUUCCCCAUUUCCCCGAACUACGUCGACUCUGAUGUUUGUUUCUGACAAACUACGUAGGCCCAGGAUGCGACAUCCUGCCGAGUCACCUUCCUCUGUCUUCUUUCAUCUGUUUAUUCCAGUGUGUGUGCAUUCUUUGAGCAAUUAUUUAGCAACCUUAUUCUUUUCUCUUGAGCGUGGAUCCCGUCGAGUACGACAGACGUGAGGGGUGCUAAUACCUUCCCCUUGCGUAACUGACUCCCGUACCUUGUAAUCUCCGGCCGUAAGACCAUUUCUUUCCAGGUUUACUUCGAGCGUUUCCUUUCCCUCCUUUGGGAUAAAUAACGCACGGUGGCGGCUCUGUUUGUUUUGUUUUUUCCCGCCGGUUGUUUUUCGCGUAUGCGACAGAGCGCAACAAGUUUUCUCUAAGAGUGAAUAUCGGGAUUCACAAUCGAUGAAUUUCUUGCUCCGGUAGUCGAUUGCAUGCUCUUUUCUUUCGGUCUCAUCUUGUUGCCCCGAUACACACCCCAUAGAACCAUCAAGUACUAUUAGGUACAUUAUAAGUGGUCUUCCUGGAACUAGUGGUACCAAGAUAAAUGACUCUCUCAAGUAUUAUUUGAUUUUGUCGAAGGCCUUUUGACAACCUUCAUUCCACUCGAUGACUUGAUAUUUAUUGAGCAACUUGAAGAUUGGUUCACAAGUAGUUGUGAGAUGCAAGAUAAACCUAGCAAUGUAGUUUAAUCUUCCCAAGAAUCCGCGAACCUCUUUUUUGUCCUAGGAGCUAUCAUAUCUUGGAUGGCCUUGACUUUGUCAUGAUCCACUUUGAUCCCUCUCUGGAUGACUAUGAACCCCAAUAAUUUCCCCAAUCUGACUCCAAAGUGCACUUUGCAGGAUUCAUACGUAACUUGAACUUCCUUAGACGAUCAAACAAUUUUUGCAGGUUGGCUAUAUGAUCUUCUUCAGUAUGUGAUUUUGCAAUCAUAUCAUCAACACAAACCUCUAUCUCUUGGUGGAUCAUAUCAUGGAAGAGUGUCAUCAUUGCCCUUUGGUACGUUUCCCCAGCAUUCUUCAAUCCAGAAGGCAUUACCUUGUAACAGAAGGUGCCCCAGGGAGUGAUAACCAUGGUUUUUUCCAUGUCUAUAGGAGUCAUCUUUAUCUUAUUAUAACUGGAGAAUCCGUCCAUGAAUGAAAAGACAGAGAAUUGAGCGGUGUUGUCUACUAGUACGUCAAUGUGGGGUAGAAGGAAGUCGUUUUUAGGACUUGUUGUAUUCAAAUCUUUGUAGUCUAUGCACAUUCUAACUUUCUCAUCUUUCUUUGGGACUAGCACGAUGUUAGCGACUCAUUGUGGAUACUUGGCAACAGAUAGGAAUCCUGCAUCAAACUAUUUUCUUAAAUCAAACUUCUAAAUAUACUUAACCAUAUUGACUUAUUCAAAAGACAAAAAAAUAACUAACAACCCCAUUCAAAUAUUU